CAACCUCAUCCAUGCUCAGAGCAUCCUCGCCAUCUGGGCUUCCCAGGUUGUGCUUAUGGGAUUCGUUGAAGGGUACAGAGUGGGUGGAGGGCCACUUGGCGAAGGACUUGACCCCAUUUAUCCUGGCGGUGCCUUUGACCCACUUGGCCUCGCUGAUGAUCCUGAUGCAUUUGCAGAGUUGAAGGUGAAGGAACUCAAGAAUGGCCGCCUCGCAAUGUUCUCAAUGUUUGGAUUCUUCGUUCAGGCCAUUGUCACUGGAAAGGGUCCUGUUGAGAACCUUUUGGAUCACCUUGCCGAUCCAGUGGCCAACAAUGCUUGGGCAUACGCCACUAACUUCGUUCCUGGAAAAUGAAGAAACUCAGAUGGUUGCCUUGUAGCUUGUGACAUUACUAAUUAGUCCUUGUGCUUUUGUUGAAAACUUCUGGUUCUGGACUCCACCGGUACUUGUGAUUUCAGCAGUGGAUAUUUUACAUGUAUCGGAAAAGUACUGUAUCUCCUUUUCACUAUGAACAUGAGACUCUUUUGUGCUUGAAUCUACUUUUUUUAGUUGGAUUUGUCUCGUGGAUAAGUUUUUAGAUAAAAACAAAAAUAAGUAACAGUUCCAUCACUGCCCAAUAAGAGGGGAAGAAGUCUUCCUUGUGCAAUUAGGUGAAGCUAAAUUUUUCAGUUUAUGAGUUUUAUUAUUUAUUAAUCUCUAGUUUAAUUACUAUAAAUUUUAGAAUUAUAAAAAACUUAAAAAAUUUAUGAAAUUGUUAAUUUUAAAAUUUUUAGAAAUUAAUUAAGGUAAGUAUAAAUUAGCUCGAACAUUCAUAAUUAAUUUAAAAAAAAAUCUUCUCUAUACAAACAAUAUUUUCUCAUUUGUUACCUACGAAACUAGGUAAGCAUAUAAAGCAUUCAAGUAAUAAAAAAAACCCUAAAAAAAUAAGAUUAAAAAAAAUAAUAAGUCUCCUAGUGAUAUAAAUGUAGACGAAGAAAUAUUUUCAUAUUAAUUGUAAUAAUGUAAUUAAUAAUUUGCUCUUGGAAAAAAACACAAUGAACUAAACUUUGAAAAUUAUAUUAUCUUUUCACUAUGACACAAAUAUUUUUAACAUAUUACAUAAAAUUAUAUUUGUUUUUUUUUAAUUUACAGUGCAAUUACAAAUUUAGCAUUGAAAUAAAUAAUUCUAAAACUUUUGACUCAAGGAUGUUUUUGUCCUGUGCAAUGUGCAAUUCCAUUGACAUCCUUUGAGACAAAAACAAUAUACUCUUAUAAGAGUUUUUUAGUCAUUUUACAUUGAUUUGUUUAGUACUGAGCAUUUUCAGUUCGGUCCAGUUUUGAACCAAAAUAAACAACCAAACUAAAUAUUUUUAAGUUUUUGAACCAAACCGAACCGAAAACCAGUUCAAACCGAUUAAUUUUGGUUCGGUUCAGUUUUUUCCCCUUCCAACCGGUUCAAACCGAAAUGCAUUUAGAAGCUCUGGAAUUGGCGACUAGAUAGAGGUUGUGCUGUCGGAGGAACAUAUUCUCCGUCCACCGUUGGAUCAUCUCUGAUUUUCAGAUAUGUUGUGUGCCUUAACCCCCACCAAAAACUGACCGUUCGGAUCUUUGGAAUAUAUCACUGUUUGAAAGCUCUCCUUGAUCUAAGUCUCGCCUCCAGAAUAUCUUUCUGGUUCUGUUCUGCUCUCAUCCCUGUUCUUUUUGUCAACUUCUACUUCUGACCAUCCAUAGCCACCACAGGUCAUUUCCCUGCCUCAAGACUAGCCACACAGCCUCCUCCCACUCCCAAACUACCACCCAUCCCCCAGUCACCCACCCUUCAUAAACAGACGAACAACCCCCUCCAGAUACCCACCCUGCCAGCUAGAUGGAAGAAUCAUCCGCAAUUCGCCUCUGACAUGGCAAGUUUGAGAGAUGAGAGACAGAGAGCAUGAAAGAUUGGAAGAGAAGAAGAAAGAUUUGACUCAAAUGUUGAAAGGAAAUAUUAAAGCUUUACCUGUAAUCAAUUACUUUUCCUUUAUGUUGACCUUUAGAAUCCAAUCUGUGUCUCAUAUCCAAAUCAUUUAAGAGACAGAGAGCAUGGAAACUAUGAAUGAAAGGGACCCUUCAAACUGUGAAAUCAUUCAAAGGGUUAAUUGGAGGGGAGGGGGCGGCUGCGUGAAAGUGAAAGAAAUGAAAUUGGUCUGCUAGGGUUAAUCGUUAAUGCCUAAUGGGAGGGAGGGGGCGACCCGCAGCUUGGUUUAAUUUAUUCUUUUCAUUUCUAAACCGAACCGGUUCAGUUCGGUUCGGGUUGUCUGGUUCAGGCACACCAAAACCGGAAACCGAACCGAACCGGAUAUUUUUCUAAAUAUCCUAACCGGUUUAAUCGGUUUUUUUUCACUGUUCAAUUUUUUCGAUUAAUUUUUUUCCGGUUUUCUCGGUUAAAUCGGUUUUUUUGUUUUUUUGCUCACCUCUAGAUUUGUUAUAGAUUCGAAGGUUGCUUGAGGGUAUUAUUGUAAUAGUUGUAUAUUAAAUAUUAUUUAAAAACAACAUGUUGUCACAUGCUUUGUAUGUGCUAGCGUGUGGACGGCCCCCACGUCGUUCAAGUGGCGCAUAUGGGGCAAUCUGACCUCCAAAUAUCGCCUUCUAGGGUUGUGUUUGGUAGAUCGCGGGGUCCUGAACAUGGUGGUGCAUGCGUAUGUACCAAAGGUGUCGUUGGUUUGGCACCAAAUGCUGUUUCUUUUUCUUUUCUUGUUCUCCUCUCUCUCCUACUCGAAUUUUGUGCCAGCUCCUGGAAAUUUUCAGAACAGCUCUUGCAAUUGUUUUUUCUUCACAUUUGGUCCCUAUGCUUUUGAACACUAUUUUUUUAAUAAGCUAUAAAAUUAUAAAUACUUUUCAAUUUCACCACAUACUAUUUUUUAAUCUAUAAAUAAUUUUUCAAAUUAUAAAUGUUUUUUAAUUUCACCCCUUCUAUUUUUAAGUAUAUGAAUAAUUUAUCAAAUUACAAAUGUUUUUCAAUUUCACCCUCUAUGAGUUUUUUAAUCUUUCAAAUUUGAUUUUUAUUCUUUUAAUUGCUAUUUAUUUUGUUUGAUAUCAUAUUUAAAAUGAUUUAUUUUUCAAAUUUCAUCCUCAAGUUUUUUUCUAUCAAAUUUCAUCUUUGUUUUUUUGUUGCCAUUUUGUUUUGCUUUUUCAAGGUUUUUUUAUUGAUAUUUUUCAUCGACUUCAUCCUUCAAGAUCAUUGUAAACCUCGGGAAAUAAAUAUUUGCAUAAAUUACAAACUAAAUUAAUGGAAAAUAAAAGCGAAGAAAUUCAUGUACAAAUUUAAAUAAAAAUAGAAAUUCAGAAAUUUUCGGAUAUAAAUUUUUGGAUGAAAUAUUUCGAGACAUUAUAAAUUAACCUGAAAAUAUUGAGGGUUGGAUUAAAUUAAAGAAAAUAAACUAAACUAAAAAGCUGAGGGGUGGAAGUAUAAGAAAUGAAAAGAGGUAUAACUUAAUUAUAAGGAGAAAAAGAUAUGGGGGCAAAAGUAGUACACCUAAAGGAAAUGAGGUCUAAGUGCAAAUAAGAGAAAUUAUGGGGUAUAAAUACCCCUCUUCCUUGCUCAUCAAAAAUUUGCAGUAAUAUUAAGAGAAAGGGAGGGAGUUUUCGAAUUUGUUCUUGCCAAAUCAAGAAAAAAACACAAAAAUUCCAAGAACUCAUCCAAGAUUAAGGGUUUAUAGGUAGAAUAAACACUUGUCAACAAGAUAUUAACAAGAAAAUUGAAACAAAAAAAGAAAAGGGAGGGUCGACUGCCAUUAGAAAAAGGGGGAGUCGAAAAUUUUCGACUGGUUGAAGAUCGAGACCUUGAUUCUUACUAGGUAAGGAGUUCUAAAACAUGAUCCUAUAAGUCGUUUCAGAUUCGAUUACAAAUUGAUGCCUUAAUGUUGAAUUUUAUAUUAGGGUUCCUAGACUUGAAUGGGGGGAAAUGUAUUAAUUGUUAAAAUUAAGUAAAUUCAUGUGUUGUAUGUGAUUGGAGGCAUGAAAUCAUGAUCAUUUAUCAAAGAAAAUGUAUGGGUAAUUAGGUAAGGGUUGGCCGACCAUAUGAAGAGAAAAAGGGGGGAAAUUAUGGUUUUUCCUUAUUGAAUCUAUUAUAAUAGGUUGUUUGUGAAGUGAAUGUCUGUGAAUUUAAUGAAAUUAGCAUGAAAGGAAUGAAGGAACUAUUGGUUCCUUAAGGUCAUGCUUUUGGCCAAUUAUGCAUUAAAGAGGGAAGAUAGUAAUAAAUAGAGUAAAUUGGCUCCUAAAAAAUAUUUUUGACCCUCUUAUAUGGUAUAUGAUAUGGUUAGGGGUUAAAAUAAAAGAAGGAAAGUUAAAUUGUAGAUGUUGUGUGUAAAUGAAAAGGUUGACGAAUCUUGACAGAUUCAUCUCCUCACUUUCGGAGAGAAUUCAAGUAGAAGAAUGAGGGAAUUAGAAUCAGGUUCUUUCAUAGAAAUUAUAGUUUUGGAUGUUGAAUAACCAAGGAAGUUGGUCUUGCUCAAUUUCAAGCUAUAGAACACUAGUUAUGGGUCACCAACCAAGACUGGGUCAUGACAGACCCUUUAGAGCAGUAGGUCUGAUUCGUUGGCGAGUAAUUUUGAGUGUCUUGGGGGCAGAACUGGGUUCUCCUCUCUUCAAGGGACUUGUAGCCCCAUGUCGUAGCUUUAUAAAGAGACCAACUUCGCUUGAAACGGAGUCCUAGAGCUCUAUAUAUAGUUAAAAAUCUGAGGAGAGGUCGAAACUACUAGCAGAUUUGGAAAGACGCGUUAAGGGUGAAAAUUUGAUCCUUUCACUUCAGAGAACAUGUGAUAUUACAUUUUAAUUUCCAAAAGAAAUGAGCCAUGUUCAAAAAUGAAAAUUUAUAAUGAUAACUAUGGUCGGACAAAGAAUGAUGAUAUUAAUAGAUGAAAUGAGAAAACAUAAAAUAUAAAGAAAGAAAUAAUUGAAAGAAAGACAUGUAUUGGCUGUUAAUAUGGUUAUUAUAAAAUGUAUAUUUGAAUGAUGAUAAUUUAUGAGAUAUGCCUGUGAUUACCAGGAGGGACCAUAAGCGUGGUGCAGCAGCAACAACUGCAUGGGAGCACGAGUAGAGCUUUUACUUCAGGUAGGUGAUCCGCACCUAUACUUUCUAGUUAGAUUCCAUGAUUUAAUAUGUUAUUGAUGUGAAAUGUGAAUUAGCGAAUGUUGGACAUUACGUGAAAGGAUGAAAGUUUGCGUAAUGAUGUUGAUAUUUUGGAUAGUAUUCUGAAUGUAUGUGUGUUCAAUGUGAAUGGUUCUUGUGUGAAUUGUCAAGUGAUGAAAUUAUAGUUGACAAAGAAAAUAUGAGAAGUGUGAUAUGCGGCGUGGACUAGCAUACAUUUAGUGCAUGUUAGGAUCCCUGGUUAGGGGAUCACCAUGUAUUGACUAACAUACAUUUAGUGUAUGUUAGGAUCCCGGGUAAAGAAUUACCAUGUAUUGGCUAGCAUACAUUUAAUGCAUGUUAGGAUUCUAGGUAAAAUGAUCACCAUGCAUCGAUGUCUAUAGGGCAUUGACUAGCAUAAAUUCAGUGUAUGUUAGGAUCCCGGGUAAGGGGAUCACCAUGCAUAAACUAACAUAUAUUUAGUGUUUGUUAGGGUCUCGGGUAAGGGGAUCGCUAUGCAUCGACACCUACAGGGUGAUGAUGAUACCGGUGAAAUUGAUAUCGGUAAUGUGUUAGGUGGAAAUAGUCGUGGUUGAUCUUAUGAAAUCUUGAAUGGAAGUUGAAAAUUGAAGAUGAAACGGUUUUAGUAGUUGAAUGAGAAAGAGUUUCAAUGGAAACAAGGAAGGAGAAGUGAAUAGAAUAUGAAUACAUGUUUGCCUUUUUAAAUUGUUGAAUAUUUGUGGUACUAUACUUAUUGUGAUAUUCUUGUUUCAAUAACAUGUAUUUUGUUUCAGGACCAUCGCAUGUACGACAAGAGUAAAUCCUAGCUUAUAUUCACUUUUUGUAAUCUAGUUCUAGGGAGUAUAUCCUUGUAUUUUGUAAUAUUACAACAUUUAUAUAACUUAAUUUGUAUAAUUGAUGUUUAAACUUGAAUAGAUAAACUUAACUUUGAAAUUCAUAUAAUUAUGUCCAUGUAUGCGUGUUUAUCUUAUUUAUUCCUCUAUAAUGAUAUUUGUUGUUCAAUGUAUGUUAUAAAUAUUAUGGUUGUGAUGACGAUGAUGUUUGUGGGAUUGAGACCCAAGACGAUUGAGUCGUGAUUGAGUUAUGAGAUAUGAAAUAUUAGAAGUGUAAAUAGGUUAUAUGUCGAUAACUUGGAACCUCCCGGUAUAAGGGAGACUUUGACGAAAUUUCGGUAGAGAUUUUGGUAGACUUUUAUAUGAAAACCACACACACACACACACACACACAAAAUUUACCCUGUUUUUCAUUCGACAUGAGAUUGUUGUUUUAUCCCGGAUAUGGGGAAGUAACAAUCAUGUUGGUUGAGAAUUAAACUUCUUGAUUGAACCCGGGUCCAAGAUUUCAUGAGUAGUGGUUAGACUAGAUUUAAAAGGUUCGUCCGAGUUCACUUGAUUUUUUUUUAUUUUUUAAGGUGAUUUUUUUUUUAUAAAUUUUUUUAUCCCUUUUUUGUUUUGUUAUUUUUUCCAGUUUGCCUACCAUUGUUUUUCAAUUUCACCCCUGCCAUUUUUUAAUCCAUCAAAUUACAAAUGUUUUUCAAUUUCAUCCCCUAUCAUUUUUUUUUAUCUUUAAAAUUUAGUUCUCAUUAUUUUAAUUGCUAUUUAUUUUGUUUGUGUUCAUUUUAUUUUUUUUUAAUUUCAUUCUACUUAGGUUUUUUUCUAUCAAAUUUUAACCCUAUUUUUUUCUUUGCUUUUUUUUUUCUUUUUCAAGAUUUUUUUAAUAAUAUUUUCACCAACUUUAUCAUUCAAAAUUAAAUAGGUCGAUAACUAAGCUCCUUGAUUUAAUCUAGUUACAAGAUUUCACGGGUUGUGACUUUUAAAGAUUAUACAAGGUUUAUGAGGUUUGUUCGGGUUUUUUUUUAAGAUGAUAUUUUCUUAUUUUUAUCCUUUUUUUUUGUUAUUUUUUGUAGUUUGCCUUCUGUUGAGUUGCCCCCUAUAAUUUGUUUUUAUUUUAACCCCUACCAUUUUUUAAUCUAUGAAUAAUCUAUCAAAUUAUAAAUGUUUUUUUAAUUUCUCUGCUAUGAUGUUUUAAUCUUUCAAAUUGGGUCCUCAUUUUGUUAAUUGUUAUUUAUUUUGUCUAUGAUCAUUUUAAUUCUUCUUUUUUUCCAAAUUUCAUCCUUUGCGCUUUUUCCUAUUAAAUUUUAUCCUCGUUCUUUUUAUUGCUUUUUUUUUUUCAAGUUUUUUUUAUUGAUAUUUUUUCACCAACUUCAUCCUUCAAGUUAAAUUUGAUGAGAAUUGAACUUCUUGAUUUAACUAAGGUCUAGAAUUUCAUGAGUUGUAAGUUUUAGAUAUUAGACCAGGUUUAAGAGGUUCACUUGAGUUCGCAUGUUUUUUUUCUCUUUUUUUAAGCUGGUUUUUUCUGAUUUCUUAUCCUUUUUUUGUUUUUUUGUUUUUUUUUUUCAAUUUUAUUCAAUUGGGUUAGGCCUCUAAAAUUUUUCUUAAUUUCACCCCUACCAUUGUUUUAACCUAUAAAUAAUAUAUCAAAUUACAAAUGUUUUCAAUAUCACCCCUAUGAUUUUUUAAUCUUUCAAAUCUUGUCCUCGUUCUGGUAAUUGUUAUUUAUUUUAUUUGUGAUCAUUUUAUUUUAUUUUUCAAAUUUCAUCCUCGCACUUUUUUUUUUUGCUAAAUUUUAUCCUUAUUUUUUUACUACUUUUUUAUUCUUUUGCCAUUUUUUUAUUUUUUAUUUUUACAUUUCAUCCUUCAAAAUUAAAUUUAUUAAUAAUUGAGUUUCUUGAUUGAACUCGGACCCAAGAUUUCACAAGUUGUGAGUUUUAGAGAUUAGACCAGCUUUAGGAGGUUCACUCUAGUUUUUUUUUUUAAGUUGAUUUUUUCUUAUUUUCUAUCCUUUUUUAGGGGGUUUUCUUUUUUUAUUUUUUGCAAUAUUAUUCUAUUAGGUUCGUCCUCUAUAAGGUUUUUUCAAUUUCACCCUUAUAAUUUUUAAAUAUAUAAAUAAUCUAUCAAAUUACAAAUGUUUUUCAAUUUCACCCCCUAUGAUUUUUUAAUUUUUCAAAUUUGAUACUCAUUCUUUUAAUUGCUAUUUAUUUUGAUUUGGAUAAUUUUUAUUUUUUUUUUCAAAUUUCAUCCUCCGUAGGUUGUUUUCUCUCAAUUUUUAUCCUCAUUCCUUUUGUUGAUGUUUUUUUGGCUUUUGGAAUUUUUUUUAUUAAUAUUUCUUCAAGGAUUUCAUCCUUCAAAAUUAAAAUGGUUGAGAGUUAAGCUUCUUCAUUGAACCUGGGUCCUCGAUUUAAUAAGUUGCAAGUUUUAGAGAUUAGACUAGGUUUAGGAGUUUCGUCUGAGUUUGCUUAUUUAUUUUUUUCUUUUUUUAAGCUGAUUUUUUUGGAGUUUUGUUUUGUUUGUUUUUGUUUUUGUUUUGUUUACCUUCUAUUAGGUUAAUAUUGGGUUGUUUGAUAAUCUGGAUAGACUCAAGUAUGGUUCUUUUUACUCUGUUUUUUUAUUUUUUUUGUCAGUUUAUUUAUUAUUACUGCAUUUUUAUUUCAUAUUAUUUAAAUUACCAAUUGGACCAAUGACUUGGAACUUUGAUUUUUUUUACCCUAACAUUUUUUUUAAGUCGAACAAUAAUUUUGUUAGGCCUGCGGUGAAGUGCAAACAGUAAAUCUAGUAUAUAUUGUAGAUCAAGAUGCAAAACACUAUGGAUUUGAACAAAGUUUUGAUCUUUUUAUCCUUAUUAAUAAAAACCAAUGACCUUGUUGAUGAGGUAAUAUGAUCUUUUCCACAUGAUCCAUUGAUCAUUAUUUGAUUAAUUAGGAGUGGAUUGAUCUUUUAUCAUUUUUAGAGCAUAGAAAAAUAACUAAAUUACCCUUAUAAGCAAUGAUUUUUAAAACUAACAUCCAUAAGCUUUUUUGCCAUUUUAAUUUUUCAAGGAUAGUAAAAUGACUAAAUCCUUUGACUAGCAUCCAUGGGCUUUUUAGUAUUUUCAUUGUGGUUUUUUUUUUAGUAAUAAUCAAUUUGAUUGAGAGGUACUUUCAUAAUUGAAUAAAUAUAAAUAUUAUUAAAAAAUGGUCGACACAUGUAAGUGUUUAGAUUGUAUAAUUUAGGAGAUGUUUAUGCUAUUGUUUGACUAGUAUAAUUUGGAGGAAAGUUCCUACAGUAGAUGUUGUUUACAACCCAAUAAUGGAUGAGGUGAGAUUUUAUGCUUCACAUGUUAUUUUCAUAUGGCUAGAUAAUAUUUAGAACGUUAAAUGAUUAGAAAUUUUAUAUAGAGCAUGCAAAGUGUUACAACGUGUGAUCUAUAAGGAUGAAGAAGGUAGAAGUUACAUUUGGGCUAAAGAAUAGACCAGAGGUUUACAAAAUGACUUAAAAAAGGAAGAACAUAAUUGUAUUCUUAAAUAACAAAGUUAGAGCAUUGAAAGAGCAAGGAAAAAAAAUUGGAGGAACAAAUACAAAGAAUGAAUGAAGAACUUUAAGAUUAGUUGCAUGUUAAACAUGGAGAAUUCUUGCAAAUUCAGAGGAAAUGAGAAGAACAAAAUAAAAAUAACAAGCAAUUCACUUCACGAUUGGAUUCAAUAAUGGCUACCUUACAAACCAUUUUAAAUGAUAAAGAAAUUGAGAAGAAAGGAAGAAAUAAUCCAUUUUUUAAUGUAAGAAAUGAUCCAAUAUCUGAUGGUAUCCUACUAUAUCCAAAAGUGCAUACAAGAAUGGAGGAGGUGAUUUCUAAUGAAAGGCAGAAAAUGAGUUAGUAUGGCUCUACCUGGGGUAGAGAUAUUAACCUUCUAUAGAGAGAAUCCUUAAAGCUGGAUAAGAAAAUGCAAGAAAUACUUUAAGCUACACCUUACCCCAGCUGGUCAUUGGCUUCGAAACAAGAAUGCUAGAAUGAUUGGCAUCCAAGUAACGAUUGUUAGAUUGAUUACUAUCCAUUUGAGAUUAUUGGAAUUAUUAGCUUCCAAACAAGAAUGCUGGAAUAAGUGGCAUCCAAGUAAGAUUUCUGGAUUGAUUGGUAUCCAUUUGGGAUUACUGGAGUUAUUGGCUUCCAAAUAGGAAUGCCGAAAUAAGAAAUAAUAAUGAGGAUUUGUUGAGUUUAUGGAUAAUCGAAUUAGGGUUUUUGGACCAAUUAGUUCUCGCAAUGAAUAACCGGAUUAAUCGGCAAUGAAAUAGAGUAGAUGGGUUACUAAGUAAUUCAAGUAAGAUGGAUAAAUAAACAAGAGAAGAAAUGAAUGCAAAAAAACUAUUUAAGGUAUGAUCACAAUAAAAAGGAAUGAAGUAGAAUCUGGAAUGAAUUCUUUAAAAAUUAAUUAAAUUGUAUGAAAUCUUAUUAAAGAUUGACGCAUUGUUAUAUUAAUUCUUGUUUUAAGUCUUUACCAAGGUUGUCAAGAAUAAAUUUUAUUGUUACUUUCUUGUUAUAGUUAUUAGAAAAGAUUUGUAUAUAAUUUUGUAAAUAUGGAUAAUAAAUUGUAAUAUUUUAAGUACUUUCUUUUGGUAUGUAAAAUGGAGCACUAUAACAUUUUACUAAAAAAUAACUUAUAAUUAAAGUAGUGAUCAUGCUUUAUUUUACACCAUUUCAUUAGUAUCUAAAUUCUUAUAUUGCUUUAUUAGUAUACUAUAUUGAUUAUAUUAAAAUGAAAUGAUGAAUAUCAUAGAGUUAUUGAUGAGAUGUGAUUCUAGAUGAAUUGGACUGAUGAUUGACAUAGAUUUGAGUAAAUUACAUUCAUGUCGACAUUUGAGAAUGUUAUAUAUUAGGGAAAACUCUGAUGAAUUUUUUAUAGGAAUAUACAAAUUUUUUUUCGCUCUAAUGAAAUUUUGGUAGGAAUGUACAAAAGUAAUUUCUAAUUUUUUUUUAACAAUCAUGACUUGAUAUAUGGUCAGAAAUUGAUAUAAAAAUUGGGAUCGUUACAUAUAUAUUGAGCAACAUUACCAUAAAUAAAAGGCUUAAGGUGUUGAAGUGAUUGCUUGUUUGAGAGUGUGGUUGCGGUUGCUUUUCAAAAUGUUUUUCAUGCCGAAAACCAUCAAAAUGAUUUUUUUUUAAAGAAUUAUUUUUUAGAUUAGCACAUCAAAACGAUUCAAAAUAUACAAAAAAAAACACGGGUGCCACCAUAUUUCCAAACACUCAAAAGGUUGCGAUUUAUGAAUAUGUAAUAAUGAACAUGUAGUUGUUGAGAUCGUGGUGUAUUCUUGAGGGUGAUAGCCUAUGACGUGAAAUGAAGAAAAUAAGUUGCCUUAAUUAUGAAAUUGACUCUUCGAAAGGCAUUUGACAUGAUUUUGGGCCUCUCCAUGAGUGAGAAUAGAGAAGUAAUGCUUUUUCAAUUAUGAAAUUAUUUGUUUUCUUUUCCCUCUUCAAUGAAAGUUUAUAUCACCAGAUUUCAACUUAUUGAGACCAAAACUUAUUUAAUCCACCGUUAACUUAAGUUAAUAUAUCAAAUCCUUAUUAUAAAUAUAGUAGCAGUUUUUUUUUAAGUAUUUUUCGUCUACAAAUAUAUUAAAAUAAUAUUUUUUUAUUUUUACAAAUUAUUUUUUAUAUCAGCAUAUCAAAACGAUUUGAAAAUAUUAAAAAAUUAAAUUAAGGCCUUUUUUAAAAAAAAUUCAUGGAACACGCUUUGCACUGCGUUCCCAAACAGGUUCUAAAUACUGAGACUUUCUAGAAACCACAGUAACCUUGUAAAAAAAUAAAUUAAAAUAAAUAUUGAAAUCUAAUACCCAAUAUUGAGUUUUUUUAUUUAAUAAUAUGAUAAAAAGUGGAUGUUAAAAAACCAAACACUAAUCCAAUACCUGUAUAUUUUUCUAAUAUCGAUAUAACUUCAUUCAAAGUAAAUUAAAAUAAAUUAUGAAAUUUAAUUCAUAAUAAUUAUGUUUUUUUUCCUCAAUUAUUUUUUAUUUAAUAAUAUAAUAAAAAAAUAAACAAUUAUAAACUAAGCACAAUACUGAGAUGUUUUUUCAAGACUACAAUAAUUUUAAAUAAAUAAUCAAAAUAAAUAAUAAAAUCUAAUUCUCAAUAAAUCUAAUAUUAAAAAAUAAAAAAAAAGCAUAUAUAUUAGUAUUCUAAUAACAUGUGAGCAGUCAAAUGAUAAUUAGAAUUGUAAAAUGAGUUUCCCCGAGAUUGUGAUAAAUAAAUGAAAAAAAAAGAGGAAUAGUAAAUGAUUUUGUACACUAUGAUCUAUAGUCAUGAAAAUUACUGCGUGAUUUUUUUUAAUAGUUAACAUUGAUAAUCAUGAAAGAUUUUAUACACUUUACAACAAUAAAGCAAUAACUAUUAAUUAAGGGAGUAUUUUAAAAUGUGAUAGCAAUUAUUGUUUUAAAUAUUUUUAUAAAACAUACAAAAAUAUAUAUUUAAAAAAAAUUAUUUUUAAUAUUAAUAUAUUAAAAUUAUCUUAAAAAAUAAUAAAUAAAUAAAUACACGUUUUAAAUAGCUGUCUAAGACAGUUAUAAAAUAUUUUAAUUAAAAUAUUAUUUUUUAUUUUUUUAUUCAAUGACUAGUGUAGAAAAAAAAAGUGCUGUGUAAAUCAGCGUCUCACGCAAGUCAAUGCCCCCACAAAGGCACAAACAGUGACAUAGCAAAGGUCAUAAAUUAAAAGACCGGUUUUAGAUAAUCUCAUAGUGUCCGGUCUUGUCCCUGCGUAGAAAGCCGGGGGAUUAGCGCGUCGCAUUUGUCAAAGCUCAAGCAGCCUCAACACUGGAGGACAAAAUGGUAAAAGAGUCAUUUCAAUUAUCUCUCAGCUCUUCUUUGUAAUCCUUAAUUGAUUAAUGGUGGUUGCCUUUUCUCUUCCUUUAUCGAUCCAUUUGCCAUCGUUUCUUCAGGUCAGUACUCUCUCUCCCUCUCCCUCUCCCUCUCCCUUUAUCAUUAGUUUCUGUUUGUUUGCUGAGAAAACAGAUAGAGGAAACGUUUGGCUUUUUCUUAUUGUUUUUGGUUUAAGUGUUGAAUAGAUAGAUUUUUUUUAUUUUUUUUUGCAGUGAAUUAAAACCUAGGUUAUGUUUUCUGAUUGACUGUCAAUUUUUAUCUUAAAAAAUAUCUUCGAGAGGUGAGAUUUGGUAACUUUCUUAGAAAAUUUGGUUUGACUUUUGUAACUUUCUUAGUUACCAAACAGAUCAACUCUUCUUAGUAUCUCCUUUUCUCUGAUCAACUUUUUGCUUGUUACAACUUUGGUUUUUUUUUUAAUUUUUUUCUUUUUCUUUAAAAAAUUAGUCUGGUUGGUUAAUGAUGUUGAAUUCUUUUUUUAAAAAAAAAAUGGGGUGUGUGUGGCUUUAUUCUGGUUUAGCUGAGUUGUAACUGAUCUAGUCUAUCUAUGUGAUCAUGUUCAAUAUUCAUUAAUCAUGCUAUAUAUAUGUAUCAUAUGAAUACCCUCUGGAAAUCAUAGUUAAUCCUAUUUUAUAAGCAAAACGGAGUUCUUGUAAAAAAGGGGAUCAUUACAUAUUAUUUUGAUCAGAAAAGUACUAGACUGAAGAACUCUUUUUCAUACUUGGGCGAUGUUUUUUUUUCUUGAUUAUUAUUAUUACUUCUUUUCACAUUUCCAUAGCUUGAAUUUUAAUGAUAGUCAUAAUAAAAGGAGGUGGUGAUGGAUGGAUGAUGUGUUACAGCUCCUUAUGACAAUGACAGGAAGAAACGACUAAUUGAUGGGCACAUCAUCUGGCUCUAACAUUCACCACCCUUCAUAAAAAAUGCUUCCUCCACGACAGCAACCUUAUACAACUGGACUACAAACAUCACUGUCCUUGGUGUCUUCGGAUCUUCACUUGUCCCCUGACGCACAGGAACCAAGAUCAAAUUCUGAUAAUAUUCGUGAAUCUCUUACAGAAAGUGCUAGUUCACAAGAAACUUGGCCUACUGUUGAUGCCAUGAUGAAAAAGAAGAUGGAGAAUGACAAGGCGGAUAAUGAUUGCCCUGGACAGUCCAUCAUUCGUCGCGUCUCAGGUGCAGAUAAGAUAUCUUUUCGUGACAUAGCUGGGGAACGAGUUGACAUGAUCUCUGAAAAGAUGCAACAUUUACCUGACGACUUUCUUGAUGAGCUAAAGAAUGGUCUUCGGGUUAUGCUUGAAGGAAGCGGUGGUUCACAGCACAGAGAGGAAUUUUUGAUUUUGCAGAAGCUUGUUCAUAAUAGGUCUGAUUUGACAGCAAAGACUUUGAUUAGAGCACACCGAGUACAGCUAGAAAUACUUGUUGCAAUAAACACUGGAAUUCAGGCAUUUUUGCAUCCAAGUAUUAGUCUCUCCCAAACUUCCCUGAUUGAGGUCUUCGUGUUUAAGAGAUGCAGAAAUAUAGCAUGCCAAAACCAGCUUCCAGCUGAUGACUGUACCUGCGAAAUAUGUGCCAACAAAAGCGGUUUCUGCAAUCUCUGCAUGUGUGUGAUCUGUAACAAGUUUGAUUUUGAAGUGAAUACAUGCCGUUGGAUUGGUUGCGAUUUGUGUUCUCAUUGGACUCACACAGAUUGUGCUAUUCGUGAUGGACAAAUUUGUAUGGGCCCGUCUGUUAAGAGUGGAGCUGGCCCAACUGAAAUGCUUUUCCGUUGCCGAGCCUGCAAUCGAACAUCUGAGCUCUUGGGGUGGGUGAAAGAUGUUUUCCAACACUGUGCACCAGCAUGGGAACGAGAGGCUUUAACAAGGGAACUUGAUUUUGUUAGUAGAAUCUUCCGAGGAAGUGAAGACCCUAGAGGGAGGAAACUCUUUUGGAAGUGCGAAGAACUUAUUGAGAAAAUGAAGGGUGGAUUUGCAGAGUCAACAGCUUGCAGUGUGAUAUUGAUGUUCUUCCAAGGUAUGUAUUAUGCUAAGCAUUAUAUAAAUAGCCCUCUCUCCUUCAGUAUUGGAAGAAUAUUCAAGCAUUAGUGUGCUUUGCCACAACAGGCUGCUUGAUGCAGUGCCUAAGCUGCUCCAAUAUCAUUUUAUAUGUGUGCGCCUAACUAUUUCUUUUUACAGAUAUUGUGUGUGUGUGUGUGUGACUAUUUCUUUUUACAGAUAUUAUAGGCGUGUGUGUCACUUUUUGUUAUACAAAUAUUAUAUGUGUGUGUGUAACUUUUAGCGCUUAUGUUUGAUGAAUUGAAAUCCUUACAAGGUGUAAGUGCAGUGCAUAGUGAAUAGAGAUGUGAGAUAAGAAAAAAAAUUAUGUUAGGUAAAUCAAGAUUAAAAAAAAGGUUUGGUAAAGGUAUAAAUUAGGGAAUGGGGAUCUUUAGUUCUUAAGGAUAGUAAAACACUGUUGUCAAACUAAAAAAGAAAUAGUAAAACAUGAUUUGUAUUUAUACAUUUGAAUGUAGGUUAAUGAAAGUUCUAUUAUGGGAAACAUAUAAUUACAGUAAUUUUUUGUUUAUUGUUUUUUUUUGUUAAGAAUGACAAUUUUGAAAGGUGAGGUAGUAGUGUAGUCUAUGAAAAGAAAAAAAAGUUAGGUUGUGUAAACAUUUUCCCUUUCCUUUUAAUGCUGGAUGUAGAUCAAUCACAAGAAUUUAAUUUCAUACGCGACCAAUCUAAAGAAGAAUUAGAAAAGUAAUUAUUUCCUUUUUCAUGUGGAUCAAUUAACUGAAUUGAAGCCUUUUUAGUUUCGAUAAAAGUUUUAACACUCCAAGAUUGCUUGAGCCUUUGGAGCUUCUAAUAUUGUAGCUGAAUAAAACUAGAGCCAAAUAUAUUUUAUGUUAUUUUUUUUAUAAUCUAUGUUUAACAUAAAAAAUGCAUAUUGUCUCAACGAAUAUGCCUCACACUGUCAUUAAGGUAACAUUCAAGACAAAUUUGAGAUAAGACUAUAUCUUAAGACAUAUUAAGAGCACAUAUAUAAUUCAUGCAAUCAUUUAUUUUUGUUGUCCAAUAGUGCAGAUAUAUCAAAUCAUGACUUAAUAUAAAAUUAUAAAUGGAAGAUGAAAUUAAAGCAUUAUUGAAAGUGAUGAUCAGAAAAUACUUUGAUUAGUUCAAGUGAGUUUUGUGUAUCUUUCUUUCCUAUAGAUUCUUGGAGUCCUCUUAUGCAAUAUAUAUAUAUAUAUAACAGUAGGUGCAAUCACAAUGGAUGUGAUGAACUUAAUUUAAUUGAGACAAAUUAAUGAAUUGAAUUGUCAAAGUGAUUGACUAAUCACUUGGAUGCCAUGGGUAAAGCAGACAUAUGAAUUGGACGCUAAAUUACUUUCAAGCACUAAUAGCUGCUGUAUUUCAUAGAUGUACAGAGUUGAAUUAAUUCAGUUUAACAAAAAGAGAUUGUGAUACAAAAAAAUCACUAGUUAAUAAACAACCAAAAUUUAGUAUGAAAAAUAAUAAAUCACCAAAAGUUUCGGUCUUGUUAGAAAAAAAAUUUUGUGUCAGCAUUGCUCCUACUUUGCUUCAUACGCAUAGAUAAUAGAACUUGUAAUAAGCACAGGACUAUAAUAUUGCAUACAUGCUGAAUUCUGGGAGAAACUACCAAAAGAUUGUGGAAUCUCUCGUCUUUAAAAGUCUUCAGGUUCUUAAGGUGCUUGACAACCGAAUCCCUACUUGGUGAUGUGAAACCCAAGGUUUGCUAAUAGAAAAGUAAACCACCAGGGUUGAUUGUUAAUGAGCUCAUAGAUCACAAAUAGUUUCUCUUAAGAUCUGUACCUUAGAGUGAUAAUCAUGAAAAGAUAGAAUACCCUAGCAUUUAGUUAUAGGAUGUAAGCAAACACAAUUUUUCUUUAGAAAACAUGUGGUUUCAAGGGUUCUAAAAGAAUUUAAGUUCACAGUAUUUUAGUAAAAAAACAAAUAGUAGAAAAAGCAAUAUAUAUAUAGGGGUAUUAUUGCGUUAUAACAAUGUUCAAAGACAUUUUUACCUAAAUGAGCUCCAUUAUACGUUGUUUUUAAUUAGUGGUUUGAAAGGACUACAUUUACCAUAUAUAGGUAAAUCAUUGCAUCAUUAUUUGGUCUGCUUGUCCUGUGAGUGAGCAUGCCAUACAUAGACAUGCUAAGAAUAUCUCACUGUGAUCAGAACCUUUGACAUGUUUAUGCUGAAAGUCUAUUAAUGUGACUGGAUGUGAUGUCUUCAUUCUAUUGUUAGACUCUUAGUUCAAGCUGAUUGGCAAGGCUAGUCAUAGCAUCUGUCUCUUCUAUUCUUUGAGCUUUAAGGCUUCAUCGUUGCUCUGCAGUUUUUUGAGUAAUCACCUUCUUUUUUCUACACUCAGCCUCCAUUUUGUUAUGGUCCUGUGGGGAGUCCACAUAUGGGUUUCAUGUGUAUGUAAUUUGUUUUGAUGGCCACCUGAACUGAUUGCUUCUUAACUGAAUUAUUGAAUUCGGUAUUUGAAAUUCAGUAGAAAUCAAUUGCAUGAAAUUAAACUUCUAUUUUGCUGUACUGCUCUUUGAAGAGCUUGAGGUGGACUCUCCAAAGAGCCUGGAAAAUGGGGAGGGUGGGAGGCUAAUAGCCCCACAGGAGGCAUGUAACCGAAUUGCUGAAGUGGUGCAAGAGGCCAUAAGGAAGAUGGAGAUGGUGGCUGAUGAGAAGAUGAGAAUGUUUAAGAAAGCACGCAUGGCUCUUGAGGCAUGCGACCAUGAGCUGGAGGAAAAGGCCAAGGAAGUGGCAGAACUAAAGCUAGACAGGCAAAAAAAGAAGCUACAGAUAGAAGAGCUAGAGAGAAUUGUGAGGCUUAAGCAGGCAGAGGCUGACAUGUUCCAGCUCAAAGCCAAUGAGGCAAAGCGAGAGGCUGAGAGGCUGCAGAGAAUUGCGCUUGCUAAGACGGACAAAUCAGAGGAAGAAUAUGCUAGCAGUUACCUCAAGCUACGUUUAAGUGAAGCUGAGGCAGAGAAGCAAUAUCUAUUUGAGAAGAUUAAGCUGCAGGAGAGUUCACGUGCAUCACAAAGCAGUGGUGGGGCUGACCCUUCACAGGUGUUGGCAUAUUCCAAAAUCCAUGAAAUUCUUCAUGGGUACAAUGUCCCCCCAAAGACAGAAGCACAGCCAAACGAUCGCCACCAUUUCAGGACAAAUCCCUGAACAAGCUGGGUUGCUCCCCGCCACUUCUGCUCAUAAGUCAGUAAGCUUUUUCUCCACGUCAUAUUUGUACCGUCUUUCACGUCCUUCAUUCGGAAUGAAAAAAGGGGGUCGAUUUCAUCUAUAUCGAAACCCGCCUUCUGCCAAGUUAUAUAGCAAGGAUUGACUGUGUUGUUUAGAAACGUCACUCUUGUUGAAGUGUGAAUGAAAUGCUGUUUGGAUUCAUUUGAACGUUGUGGUUUUCAUGUGUUUGGGAGUGGUGUGAUUAUGCAUGGUAGUUUUUUUUAUGUGGAACUAAAAAAAAAAAAAAAAAAGAAACCCAAGAAAAAGCAUGUAAAACUUGUUUUUACGGCAGUGUUUUGUGCAUUAAAUAGGUUGUAUAUAAAAAAAUUAAGCUACCCAGCCACGUCACUUUCCAAAUACACAUUUAGACCGUGUUUGUUUGUUUAUGUCGCUUUUCAUGUUUAUUGGAAAGCAAUUUUUUUUUGAAGUGGGUUUUUUGGACAAUAAAUUCUUGAAAAGUGAAUUAUUUUACGAUGUUUGGUAGUGUCAUGAAAAAUAAAUUGAAAAACACUUUCUAAUAUUUGAUAGGGGUGAGCAAAAAAACUGAAAAACCAAGAAAACCGGAAAAAAAAUAACCGAAAAAACCAAACAAUGAAAAAAACUGAUUAAACCGAUUAAAAUUUUAAAAAAACCGACCGGUUUGGUUCGGUUUCUGUUUUAUAAGCCUGAAACCGAAAAAACUAAAUCGAACCGAACUUAAACUGAAAAAAACUGGAAAAAAACUCAAGCCAAACCGGAAAAAAACCGAGCCAAACCGAAAAACCAAGCCAAAUUGAAAAAACCAAGCCAAACCGGUUUGAACCGGUUUCGGUUUUUUUAAAAAAAAAUUUGGUUUGAUUACUUUUUUUUGAUAAAAACCGAACCGAACUGAAAAUAAUCAUCCCUAGUAUUUGGUUAUGUUAUGGAAAAUAGUUUAUUAAUGUUUUAUUUUUUUCAAGUUUAUUAAAAUAAUAAGGAAUAAAUCUUAAAAAUUAAAAAGUGUUUUUUAUUGACCGGAAAAUUUUUUUUGUUGACUAAUUUUUCUAAUGAUAAAUAAACACACAAAAAGUUUAAAAAGUAAAUUCCUGAAAAUUGAUUUAGAACAAACAAACUUGGUCGCUACGGUUUAGAUUGCUCUUUGUUGCUCUAUUUGUGACAUUGUCAUUGCAGUCUUUAUGUUACAGGUAUGCUUUUUUGGCAGCACUUUCUGGUCUCUCUUUUCUUUUUUUAGGUUUGUUGAUUCAGGUUUAGGCCAUGUGUAAGUGCUCUGCUAUUUUCUUUGGUUGCUCGCCUUCGUGAUUUAUUUCUAAUUUUUCUGGUUGUGCCAGGCAUGCCUGUUGUUUGCUUCAGGCAGGGUGAUGUGUUUCGUAUGGAGGUUGAUUAUGCAGGUCUGGCUCUGCAAUUGAAUCGGGACUCUGUGCUUUUAUGGUUGCAAAACACCUCCAGGUCUGUUUUGUUCAAAACUCAAUAGAGGCCCUUUUUUUAGCUUCUGCUUUUGAAAUUUCCAGUGAAACGCAAGAUGCUCCUCCACAAUAGAGGUCCGUCCAUGCACUGCCAUAAGUUUUCAUGACAGCUAUCUCUUUCUAGCUCUUUGAGGAAAACACCCACAAUAGCUGAAGAAGAUCCAUCAUGCAGUGUGCCAUCACCAUCAAGUUUGGACGAACCAGCCAUACCAGCUCAAUGUCAACGUCUCUUGCCUUCUGCGCACACGCGGCCAGUGUGUUUGAGAAUGAGGCAUGGUGAGGUGAGAUUGAAUAUUUUUUUUAUAUAUAGAUAUAAUUUUUAUAAAACAUAAAUCACAACUCAUAGAGCUGGUUCAUUUUUUAUAUUUUAAAAGUGUUUUUAAAAUAAAUUUAUUUUUUUUAUUUUUUUCUUUGCAUCAAAUUUUUUUUUCAAUUUUUUUUUCAGAUUAUUUUGAUGCGCUAAUGUCAAAAAUAAUUUUUAAAAAAUAAAAAAAAUAUUAGUUUGAUGCAUUUUCAAGGAAAAAACACUUUGAAAAGUAAUUACUACUAUACUUCUAAACACUCCUUAAAAGCGUGCAUGUUCAAGAAUGCUAGAAGUUGUUUUCAAAGUGUUUUUCACUUGAAAAUAUAUUAAAAUAAUUUUUUUAUUUUUAAUAUUGAUAAAAAAAUAAAAAAAUUUAAUUUAAAGCUAAACAAACAUUAAAAAAAUUUUAGAAGUGCAGUUAAAUCGCAAUGCCAAAUAAAAAUUUACAUGGGUAUACAAGCUCAUAAUAAAUUUGAAAUACCACAUUUAUUUAUGAGCGUAAAUUUUCAUUUUGAACCAUAGAUGAAUUACCAGUUAGAAACCUAUCAACACAUUUAAAUUAUAUUCAAACCAUACAAUGCAAUUUAUCUAAGGUAAGGUAUGUUAGGGGUGUUAAUAGCCUAAUACCUUUUUUAGUCAUAAUUUAUUAUUUAUCCUAUAAUUUUAGAUAAAAUCAGUCCACUCGAGUUUUCUAAUGAUCCUGAACCAAACAACUACAUAACGAUUCUUUAAUCCCGACAUCAUAAUACGGUGCGCACGUUCUACAAUAGGCUUCAAGAAAAAGAAGGGGCUCUUUAUCUUGGCUGGAUGAACACGGAUUUGGCGGCAUCUUGUGCAUGGAAGUGAUGCAUGCUGAUUUUAUUUUUCUCAUUUAGGAAAGCAGGCAACCAGCUGAGGUAGAAUCUCUAGGUUUUCCUUUUUUUUCUUUUCUUUUUUCUCUUGGCCGUUAGCUCUAAAUGGUUUGAAGAGGAAGGCAGUAGCCUCAGCUGUGUACUUUGCUUUUACAACUCUUUAAGUUUCCCAGUUCUUUGAAACCAGCAGCUCAAUGCUUUUAACUUUUUAGCUUUUCAUGGCCUUGGGGGAACCAAGUCUGGUUUGGAGCAUUAGGCAUUCUGAUUCCAAGGCUUCAUCCUCUGAGCCUCUGUCCAUACCAGUUUCCUAAUGAAAUGCUGGAAUUUUUUUCAUAUGAUUCUUGGUCACUGCCAUGAAAGACAAGACCUGCACAACGCUUACAGAAAUUGAAUUGUGAUUUGUUAAAUGUUACGGGACUUGUACAAGAACUGGCAUAGCAUGUAGGGAUUCCAUUGGAACAGUUUUGAAAGGUAGAGGUCUUGUUUGCAAGUGCAGGUCAAUAGCGCAAGGAGAAGCAUUAGCCAUCAAGAUUCCACCUCUAUUGCCUAUGUCCUAUUGUCGAAGAUAUACAGCACCAGCUUAAUAGUAUGCCUGAUGUUAUAGUUACAGUAGUAGCAUGUUGCAGAUUGGAUAGCUAAGGCUGUUAGAACCAGCCCCUUCCUUGAAAUUGUCCAGAUUGGGUUCAUAAGCAGCAAUUUGCUUCUACUGAAAUAUCUGUGGUCUGAAACGCUUAUUAUGUUGAGAAAAGAAAAAAAAAAAGACUUGCCGUCAGUCAGUUUACAGACAUGAGGCCUGCUUUGAAUGAAAUAUGGGCUUUACAGCAAAAGCUAUUAAUUUGACAGUUCGAAGACAAGCGCUUAUUGCAAGGAGGAAGGACAGUGGUGGCUGAACUAAAAUGUACGGAAUGCAGAUACAGAACGUACCAAACUAGCUUCCAGGAAUUGUAACUCAAGUUUGGAACAUCUUUUUACCAUGUUCAAAUGCUUUUAAUGAUGUUAACAAAAAAGCUGUCACAUAUCCGAUACUUGCUGUUAUAUUUAAUGAUAAAUUGACCUAUAUAGAGCUGGAGGUCGUUUCCCUCAAUUCUAAAAAUCAAUCUGUUUCAAUUAGCUUAGGUCAGGCUCUGAAUUUAGCAUGUGCUGUUCAUUUGGAUUACUCUCUGGACCUGGAGUAAUAAUGGUACGAACACCGCAAGCAGCACUUUUCUCUUUUGAUUCAGUUCUUGACUCGCCAUCAUGUUGCUCCGUUGAUCUACCUGCUGACACAGGAUUGGCAAUGAUAACAAUAGCAGUUGCUUUCGUGACACUUGACUUGCCAUUUUGCUGCUCCCUUGAUUCACUUUCAUGGCCUGAAAUGCUUUCUUUCCAUUUAUUUCUCAACUCAGAAUUCAUUUUCUCCUCCGAUUUGAUGUUGGAAUCCGAACUAUUAUAAGCAACCAUGUCAUGGGAAAUGGGAGAUGGCAUCACUUUCUCCUGAUUUUGCACCUGACACGCCAUUCUGGAUGGUAGUUGUACAAGUGUUGAGACCAGUUGUGUUUUGAGCAACAGUCCUCGAAGGAGGCAUAUCGUGAUCAUGUUGUCCCUCAUAGCUGGUUAUAACUAAUUUUGGGUCAUUAUAUGCCCUCUCUACAUGUUUCUUAACUGGACAUCCGGGACUGGAACACCUGUAGUAGCUCCUACAUAAUGGAGGGUAGAUCAAAGUCAGCAUGUAAUCGGAAUACUUUGGUCUCCACAUAAAGAAAUCACAAUCUCGUCAUUAUGCUACCAAUAUAAGCAGGCAUCUCCUGACAUAUAUUCACAACCAGAGGGAAGAGAUGUAAACUAAACAUGUAUAAACCAAGGUCUAACCUUGUUGAGUUCAUUAAAUUUGGCAGUUACCUGGGAUUUGGAUUGCCUUUAACCAAUUUCUGCCCAUAUUUACGCCAACGAUACCCAUCAUUGACAGUGUCAACCUCGCAUUUUGUUUGAAUGACAAGACGUGGCUCACCAGUUGGCUUAUCUAAAGGAGUAGAAUCAUCAUUACAGUUACCUUUCUUCCUGUUUUGUUCAUUUGAAACAAAAGAGAUAGAUCACACGUGAAACAAUAGAGUAAAAUAAAUUUACAGCCAUUUUAAUAAUUUUCUGUGCUUGAAACAAUAGAGUAAUAUCAAUUUACAGACAUUUGAUUAACUUACCGUUGUUUUGAGCGUUGAUCAUCAUCAAUCUCAUCCCUUAUCCUAUUUGGUUCUGAUAGCACACGCUUCACAUACUCGCUGGAUGUAACAGUAGAAAUCUGAGAGGUAGUUGUUGGCUCAAUCGGAUUAGGUGCCUGACUUUCUUCAUUUAUCAAUUAGUGAAAACAUAAGACAACACAAUAAUGAUUACUUGUUAGUUAAGAGCAAAAAAUGAACAAUAUGGUGAUUUUUCGCUGUUACCUUCAACAGCAGUCAGUAAAAGAUUAUCAGGUUUUUCUUCAACAGUGGACAGGUCGCAACCAACUGCUUGUGGGAGGUUAAGUUGAGGUUUGGGAUGCUCAUGCUCACCAAUGUAAACGAUAUCAGCAAGCUUCCCAUCAUGUGAGCACUCCAAUUGCUUUUUCACUUGGCAACUUGGAUGUGUACAUUUGUAAUAGCUCCGUAUAAAUUCAUUUCCUUUAACAAGUUUCUGCCCAUAUUUUCGCCAGCGAUAUCCAUCCUCUGACACUUUUUCCCGCAUGAUAGAAGGACUCCAUCUUUCCUGACCAGAUUGCAAGGAAUGGAGAUCACUGCCAGGGGUAUGUGACAAUUUCCGUGGUGUUAAGGAAGAAACACUUCCUUCUUUGUCUAACUGCAAUAUACGCCCCCCAGUAUUCUCGAAACGUUUCUCAGGGGCAUUUGAAGGAGGAAUUCCUUCUUGUUGUGAAGCAUCACCUCCACUGCCACGGGUCUGUUGUGCAGUGUCAGUCCCUCCAUCUAGGCUCUGUCUUUUCUGCAAUUCCUUGGGAGAAACUUCCUCUGACGAGACCAUGUUAAUUUGGUAAGUUAUAGAAGAAACCAAAGAGAUAAAUUCAAGGUGCUGUUAAUACAAUUGACAGCACACUUGAACAAAUGGCACAUGGUGGUGGCUGUUCAUACCUGAGGAAGCAUCAAAGUAAAAUUAAUAACAGUGAGAAUUUGCAAAUUGACAAUCGACACCAACUAAUUCAAGUUUCAAACAAAAAUUUUAGAACUUCUUCAGUCAUAUGGAGAACUUAAGAAAAUGCCAAUGAAAAUUUGGUAAUCACUAUCAUGUAAACCUGAUUUUGAAUUGAGGCAUGAUGAAGAAAAUGUCGAUGAAAAUUUUGUAUAUGCAUCAAGCACUGGUAGAAAUUUCAAUCCUCGUUCAAAUAAUUAGAGUAAAUUAAAGAGUAAAUUAACACUAAUAAACAGGAACAAAAAAUUCAAAUAAAAAUCGUAGAAAAAUUAGUCAUAAAUACAGUAAUAAUUAGAGUAAACCAUCUAUCUGCUACUCUCGUAAUAUAAAUUACCUAAAAUAGUAACCAGUCUUCAUUUUUUAUUUUUAUGAUGGUGGUGAUGAUGAUCAGGUGGUCCCACUCCCACGCGAAACCCUAGAAUUCUGACUCUCGACUCAAUCAGGGCCGUAGAUCGCAUCGGAACCAACCGGCGACUACCGAAGUUCCGAUGAGGGUUUCACUUUGUUCUUUUUUUUAGCUGGUGUGGUGAGCCCAAGGGAAGGGGCUUUGGAGAGUUUAAGGUUAUAAAAGCAAGAAAAGUCCAAUCAGACAGACAGGCUGAGUACGAGAGGAGAGAGAGAGAGAGAGGACAAUACGGGCAUCAUUAGUAUUGAGUAGAAAAAAAGCAAGAGAAAAUGAUCCCGUGAUUCAUUGCAUAUAUAUAUAUAUAUAUAUAUAUAUAUAGACACACAGGAGAGAGAUUUUAUUUUUUUCUGGUAUAGUAAUUUGUUUUGAAAGUGUUUUUUAUUUUAAAAUAUAUUAAAAUAAUAUUUUUUUAUUUUUAAAAAAAUAUUUUUUUUACCUAUAUUAAAAUGAUUUAAAAAUAUAUUAAUUUAAAAAAAAUAUUUUUUAAAAAAAAUAUUUUUUAACCACGACUGUGCUCUUGCUCUGCAUAUAUACAAAUCCAUAUUUCUUUUGACAGAUUCAUUGCACUUACAUUUGUAUUUUAAAUUUUUCCAAUAAUUUAACCAAACUUUAAACCUCGUUAUGGUGUUUUCAUGUGCCAAUAUAUACAAUUGUAAUGUAGAUUGUUAUAAUAAAAUUAUUUAUUUACUCUUGAGUGGAAAAACAAUGGAUCUUGAGGCUUGGGGUUUUUAGUUUUUUAUAUUGGUUAAUUGGUUAUGUUAAGGGAAAAGUUAUUAAACCCGGCCCGGGGAUUGACCCGACCAAAGAGUCGGGUCCCGGGUUUUAUGGGUUGACCCGGGUCAACCCAUAAAACCCGGAUUAUUUAAAGGUUAGGUUAGGUUAAAGAUAAGAAAUGGAAAAUGGAAGGCAAUGAAAUGGGAUGAAUGUGGCAUUCAUGUUGUUGGUUGUUUUGUGCAGAGAAAGGGCUCAUCUCAUCACCAUCUCCUCACAAAGUUUAUUUACCCUCUCUGACUUCAUCACAAGCAACCAAGUUGUCUCUCUUUUUUGAACCAUCAGUUUUGUGCAAGGAUGAACACGACUUGUUGGAAUCCCAGAAGCACAGUCCUUGCUCCUGUUGCCUCUCUCUCUCUUAAAACUGUGAGUUUGGUCCGCCCCCCACUCGACGACCAAGACCUGCUAACGAAGAGGAAACGGGUGAGCGAAGAGCUUCGUUUGCUUAUUCAAAUCGGAGCCAUCAAAAGGAAAAACAAAAUAGCUGACCAGCUUCUCGAUUGGAUGGCACUGGAUAAUGAAAUGGAUCGUACCCUCUUGGACGAUUUAUAUAAUCACUUAUAUGAUUUGUCUGAGGAGCAGGGGAGGAUUCCUUCAAAUAUCUAAUCUAUUCUUUUUUGCUUUCCUUGAGGCUCACGUUCCAAUUACAGUCCUCCUACCAGCCAUUUCUUAGCCAUUUUUAGUUAUCUUGCUUGGAAGUUUUCUUACAUCCCCAGUUACAGUCAUCAAUAGUCAGGGCUAGAAGGAAGAAAUGGGAACCCAACGCCAACCCUCAAGAUCUCCAAACCCAGAUCUGCAAUCAUCUCAACAGACCCAACUCCAAAACGUCAGGUCUCGUUCGGGUUUGCCCGGGUCGCCCGGGUCAUGGGUCGACCCGCCGGGUCGAUCGGGUUUUUCCAGGUCAUUGCAUCGGCCAGUCUUUUGACAAGCCCGAACCGGUCUAGCCACCGGGUCGGCCGGGUCCCGGAUCAACCCGUCGGGCCAGUCCGAGUUUAAUAACUCUGGUUCAGGGUGUAUAAGUUUUUUUUAAUUUUUUUAAAUAAUAAAAAUAUUAUUUUACCUUUAAAAUUUAAAACUGUUAAAACUGUUGAAUAAGAUUUCUUAACUUUUUACAAGUUUUUUAAUAGUAAAAAUACUUAUUUUCAAAGUCAAUAAAAUUUAAAAUUAUUGGCUAAGAGUUUUCUUGAUUUUCACAAAAUUUAAAAAAUUAUUAGGCUACUGGAUAAGGGUAUUUUCAGUCGGUUUUUUCAUUGUCUACAGUACAAGUAUGAAUUUAGCCUUGGAUUGGACAAAAAAAAAUAGUUUUGCAUUUGGAGAUAUUUUUAUGCUUUCACACAGGUAUUUUGUGUAAUUAAUAAGGUCAUGAGCAGUGUUUUAGUAUUUUUCAUGUUUACUUUUGAAUAUUUAAAUCAGAAAGUUGUCAGCGUGUGUUGAUUACACGCCAAUGAGUGGGUGGCAUCAGCGUCUUCAGGAUGGGCGUGUGAUACCACUCGGUAGCCAAAUAUGGUCUUUCGUUGUCUCCUUGGAUGCUCAAUUGUAUCCUCUUCCACACGGAGUGACGCAUGUCAGCUUAUGGUGAUCGAAUUGUCACCGAUAAUCGUUUGUUUUUUCCCCUUUUUUUCUCUCUCCUGACAUAUAAAGUACAUUUAUAUCCUCUUUGUUUUUUAUUUUUCAAUUUCAAUCCCCGUUCUUUUAAUUUCAUAUUUUGUUACUAUUCUUUUUAUAGAUGUUUUUUUUUUGUUUGGCGAUUUAGUCUUUCAAUUACACUUUCUCAUAUGUUUGAUUUUUAAUUUCAAUACAUAUUCUUUUAAUUUCUGAUUUUGUUCUGAUUCCUUUUAUAGUUUUAGUUCUCAUUCUUUUAAUUUCUUAUUUCAUUUUUAUUCUUUUUAAAGAAGUUUUUUUUUCAAUUUAGUCCUUCAAUUACAAUUUAUCAUUUUGUUUUGUUUUUAAUUUCAAUUCUCAUUCUUUUAAUUUCUUAUUUUGUUCUUAUUCCUUUUAUAGAAGUUUUUUUCUUUUCAAUUUAGUCUUUCAAUUACAAUUUCUUAAAUGUUUUGUAUUUCAUUUUGGUCCUUAUUUUUUUUUUAAUGUUUUUUCCUUUGCCCUUUUGUUGAAGGUAUUGUUUUUUCGCUUUCAAAUGCAUCCUUCAAUCAAAUUGUUUUUUCAAUUUAACCCUUAUUCUUUUGAUUUUCUUUUGUUAAAGCUAUUUUUCAAUUCAAUUUAACUCUCCAUCUGAAAAAUUUUAUUUUCCCUUUAAUUUAUGCUUUUUUUUCACCCUCAAUUUGUUUUAGAUCCUUUUGUGUAAUUGAUUUUUUUCCUGAUUUCAUCUUUCAACAUUUAUUUUGUCAAAGAUUCGGUUUCAUGCAAUUUUAUCGUUAUGCAUUAGUUUUUUAAAAAAUAAUAUUGGUUUUGUGAUUAUCUUCAAAAACAAUUUCCAGUAGGUUUAUCACGGUCUCAAGACCUAAGUCAUGGGUUUUGCAUGUCAUUUUGUUAAUAUAAGAUUUUUUAGAAUUGUUUUGUUUGUGUUGAUUUUUCAAGAUACUAUUUCUAAAAAAAAAAUAUUCAUUUUUAAAUAAUAUCAUUGAUGUGUUAGGCCUGGCGUAAUUUUUUUUAAGGGCAUGGGUUUAUUUAAUCAGUCUCAUUUGUGAUUAUUUUUUAGGUCAUGGAUAUUACAUUCAUCUCUCUUUUUUUUUCAAUUUUGUUUUGGUUAUUGUUAAAUACUUUUUUUGUUUAUUUACAUAAAUGGUUGUCGAUUUAUUUAAUUAGAUGCUUGUAUAAGCUUUUUGAUUUACACUUUAAUUUUUUUAUGUAAGAAAACACAUCGAAGUAGCCUGCAUACCUUGUAUUUUUUUUGAAAAAAAAUUACAACCCACGACAAAGCAUGAGUUAGAUAGCUAGUGUGAACUUAGUUAUGGUUGUUCACGGUUCAGUUCGGACUACAAAAACCAACUGAACUGAGUAACUCAAAUUUUGGAAAAUUAAAAUCGAACCGGACUGAAAACUGGUACAAACCAAAGCAGUUCAGUUCGGUGAAAUUCAAUUUUUUUACCAUAAAAUCGGGAAACUUAAUCCUAUCAUAGAUAGGCUUUUUUGGAUUUUUUUUAAAUGGGCUUAUAUUAAAUUGGGCUUUUAAAUUUUCUUGUUGGGUUAAGUUUACAGGCUUUUUAAUCAAACUCUUUAACAUUUUCUUAUUCGAUUUAGUUUGUUGUAAGGCUUUUUAAUCAAAAUAAUAGAUUGAUAUUUUUUUUAAUUUAACUUUGUUUAUUAACCUUAAAUAUAUAUCAUUAAUAAUAAAUUUGAAAUGUUUUACAUCUUGCUAUCUUUAAUGUGCAAAGAAACUCUUGUAAGAUGAAAGCUAUGAAAAUCCAAAUCAAUAUGAAUGCAAUAUGCAAGAUGCAUGAUCAAAUUUAGGCACCUCAAAUUAAAAGAGGUGUUCACACUAGAAAAGUUAACAUUAGCAAACAAAUACAUUAGCAACCAACAAUAAAUUAUCAUAAAGAUCCAGCAUGGUUUGAAGAAAAAAAUUCAACAACAACAGCAUCCAAAACUUCCACCAACAGCAAAAGCCAAAAGAUCCAGCAAGGAUAAUGCUAUAAAGAAACACUAGCAAAUUAGCAACAUAUUAGAGUUCGACUAUUAAAAGAAUUAACAAUGCAGAAUUUUAAAGGGAAUUAACAAGGUAAAGUAAAACAUUUAUAUUCCAGGAUUGCACCAACAUCAUCAAUACUAUUUACAAUCAAUUGAGAUUUUCAAACUUUCACUAAAUUCUACAAAAUCAUAAAUUAAAAUGUUAGAUUAAACAUAAAAAAAAAAAACGAUAUUAUAAAAUAACAGCAUUUAAAUUUGUAAGAGAAAUUACUUGACUCAAUCAUCUUGAAAUUUUUAAUAUAAUCCAUGAAAGUUCUAAUGUUGAUUGGAAUUGGUGCUAAACACAAUCAAUUUUGACAACAAACAAGUGCUUGCACUGUCGAUGAAGCUAGAAAGCUUCGAAAUGGAUUUAAUAUACAAUCGCCAAUACUGAAAGCUGCUUCAGAAACAACCGUAGAUACCGGGAUAACUUAUACAUGUUGUGCCACCUUAGAAAGAAUCUUGUAUUUUGUAGCAUUACACCUCUACCAACCCAAAACAUCUAAUUUAAAUUCAUUAGGAUCCUCCAAAUUAUCACUCAAAUACCUCUCAACUUCAUUUUUUCUUUCUACACCACCUUUUUCCUCUAAAUAUUUUUUAAAUUAAGAAGCUAAGUCAUCUAACAUAUCAUCGACCACCAUUAAAUCAACAUUAACAUCUUCAUUUAUACUAGUUCCAACACUAUGAACAACUUCAACAUCAUCAUCAACAUUCAUAUAAUUCUCGAACAACCUUAGCAAAGUAUCUUUAACCUUCAUUGUAAAAUUUUCAGCCUCUUCAACAUCAUAUAAUCUCCCAAAACAAAAUCUCAUAUACUUCAAUUUAAAACGUGGAUCUAACACAACAACCACAUACAACAUAAAGUUUUGUGUAUCUUGAUCCCCCUAAUAUUUUUUAUACUUUGUCAUCAUAUUCUUGGUCAUUAUACUUACAUAAACAUCUUCACUUCUACAAAGUUGAGAUAUGUUGUGUGCAUGGAAAUCAAUUCAUGGAAGAAAGAAUUAGAUGUCACAUUCAAGGAGCCAGAAAAUUUUAAUGUGACCAUGUAAAAUAGUUUCAAGAACUUCACAAAAGAUCUAGUUUUUUUCCAAUCUUCUAAAAUAGAAGGACCUAAGUCUUUUUUUGUUUCCUUUUUGAAUCAACCUCAAAGUAACUCAAAUACCUAGGAUCAGUUUCUUCUAACCUCAUAAAAACUGAUGCAACCAUAUUAUUUGAUAGUUUCACCCACAUCUACCUAAUGUUUUGUCAAUGUUUUAUAUAUAAAAUGUCUUGAUAUUCUUUGUUUUAUGUUUUGAAAGUACUUUUGGAUGAAAGAUGCAAAAAGGAGUAAAUUGGAGAUAAUUGGCAGAUUUGAUGUUCAGUCGAUGUUUUGUGCAGAGCGUGAGUUCUAGAGAUCGAAAUGAAGUGAUUCUAGUGGCACUAAAAAGCUAACAUCCAUACCUUUCUGGAAGUGUAAUGCAAGAAAAAUAAAAAGAGAAAGAUUAUGGAAAUCACAUCCUGCAAAGUCAGAUCUCGCAUUCUGCCAGUGUUGACCUUUGGCCAUUCACAAUUUAAUAUCUGGAGCUACAGAAAUCCAAUUGAUGCAAAAUCAAUUUUCUUGGAUGCCUAAUUCAAAGACAUAUCCACGCUCCAAAUUUCAGCCAAAAACGAUGUCAUAUGAGGGAGAUAUGAUUUUUCAAAGAGGACAACUGAAUUCUGCCAGCAAACAGGUUUCGUGAAGAAACAAGUCCAAAUUACAUUCCGAAGCAUCUAAACCGACAUCCAAGUUUUAUAUCAGCAAUUUAGCUCCUCUAAGUCAGAGCUUGAAGAUUUCAUGCAAGGCUAUUUCUCCUUUUUAGAGAAAAUAGUUAUUGAAGUACUUAAAUGUAAACUGCAACUUAAGGGAGGACUAUUUUGUAAAAUAGAGACUAGGAUUUCUUAGCAUAUAAAAAGAAAGAGAGAAGGGGCUAGCAGCCAGCAGAAAAGAGGGAGAGCAGAAGGAGGCAGUAGCCAGCAGAGAAUAAACACAAAUUCUCUCCUCUACAAACCCAAAAAUCAUGCUCUUUUCAUUCUUUAGAAGUAGUAGUUCAAUAGUUAUGCAAGGCUAAGCUCUUUUCUUGGUUGCAAGGACACAACAAACCUUCGGAUUUCAAGAACCGUGAGAUUUAUUCUUCCUUUUAUUUUCAGUUCAUGUUAUGAAUGAGUAUAAUUGUUUUCCUAUGCAUAUUUCCUAUGAUUGUUGUUGAUGAUUGCUAGAGCGGACUCUAAGUUAUUGUUGUGAACAAUCUAUUGCUAAGUUUAAUAUCAAAACCAGAGUUGUGAUAUAUGAACUUGUGAAGCAACUAAGCUUGAUAAUUGUGGCGGAACUACGUUAUUGAACUUAGGGAGAACAUUUGAACAAAGUGACACAAGCUGCGGACAGCUUGUAUGUUAAUCUUUAUGAAAUUAUCUAGUUUUUAAAGCUACCAUUAAAUUGAAUCAUUAGUGCGGACACUUUGAUUGUUUGUUGGUUAGGAUUAGUUAUACGGCGGAUCCGUUAAUUAAUCAACGUUAAGAAAAGAUAAAAUUUCAGAACAUAAACUGCAAUUUUCGUUUCAAGGAUCGAUUCUAAUUUUCGUUGGUGGAUGUGUGCUUGCGACCAAGGUUUGUUUUCUUGAUAAGUUUCGGUUUUAAUUGAUUUUGUUUGCUAGUUUAAUUGCUGUCAUAGUUUAGAUAAUCACAAACCAAAUCCCCCCAAUUACAUAACGUACAACAUAAGAAUCUGACUUGAAACUUCCUCGUGGGAUCGAACCCUUGCUUGCUCUAUACUAUCUUAUGUGUUGUGUUUGAAGCUAGGGUAAUUAAUUUGUGCGACCGCGACAUCGCAACAAAAACCACAUCAAAUUUAGCAGCAACAUCUAGCAUCAUAUAUAGAGAGUUCCAUAUAGUUACAACAUCCAAGUAAAUAGAUUUUUUACUCCUAAUUUUCAACCUCUCCGCACAUUGGUUAAAAACAAGUUGUCUUGAAGGAGAAGAUCUAACAAACCUUACUGCAUUCCUAAUCUUAACCACUUAAUCAUUAAUAUCUUUCAAUCCCGCACAUACAAUAAGAUUAAUAAUAUGUGCACAACAUCUAACAUGCAUGAAGUCAUUUGACAAUAUAUAAGUUACCCAACCACUUGUUACUUUUUUCAGAUAUUUUAUUGUUAAAUUAUUUAAACUUGCAUUGUCUACUGUAACUGUUAAAAUGUUAUCAAUUCCCCAUUCCAAUAAACAACUCUCAAUCAUUUGACCAAUUGUUUCAUCUUUAUGAUUAGAAACUUGACAAAAGUUCAGAAUUUUUUUAUUCAAUUUCCAACCUUCAUCAAUCCAAUGGGCAGUCAAACACAUAUAAUUAAUAUUCUUGAUUGAUGUCUAAGUAUCGGUUGUCAAAUAUAAACAUUGACCCUUAAGAGCUUUAUUUAAUUUGUCCUUCUCAUCUACAUAAAUUUUCAAACAAUCUCUCUAAUUCAUCAAACGAGAAGGAACAUUAAAUCUAGGUUGCAUUACUUGACAAAAUGAUUGAAAUCCUUGGUUUUCUACAAAGUUAAAAGGUAUCUCAUCAAGUAUAAUCAAUUUUUCUAGGGCUUUCCUACACUCUUCAUAAUUAUAAUUUACUGCCUUAAUAAUUGCUAGAUUUUCCUCUCCAUUAUCACCCCUUUCUAUUAUAGGCUUAGGUUCUAAAACUAAAGUUUUUUGUUUUCGGUCAAUCACAAAAGAAAAUUUUUUGCAUACACCAAGAUGACUCCACAUGUUACUAGUCCCAUUAAAUAUAGUACGACAUGUAUAGUCUUUUCCACAAUACAUACAUGCAGCUCUAAGAGCUUUAGGAUUACUAUCUAGUUUUUUAAAGUGAUCCCAAAUUCGAGAUGUUUUUCUUUUAUUACAUUUAGAAGGUGGAUUACCUUUAGUGUUGCUAUCUAUACUAGAGGUAGUGACUGGAACUAGAACUGGAACUGGAAUAGGCGAAGAAUUGGGUUCCAAACUUAAAGGACUUGAUUCAUUUGGUGUAGAAUCUUCCCGAUUAUCCAUCUAAAAUUAAAAUAACAACAGUAACAUGAAUCUUUUCUUUAGAUUAUCCAUCUGAAAUUAAAAAAACAACAUCAACAUGAAAUUUAAAUUCUUGAAAAAAAACAACAACUUUAUUUGAAAGAAACUACAAAAAUACAAUUAAACCUCACCAAUAAACACCUCAACUUGAGACUAACAGAGCUUCCAAUAAAGCCAAAACAAAGCUCAGAUGAAGCUACUAUAUAUAUACCGAAAUUUUUAGCAUCCUGAUUAAUAAGAAAAUUCAUUGGUAAAGAAAUUUACAAAAAAAAAAAAAGACAAACUAGAUUAAGGAGGCCAGCCUUCUCCAAUGGGCAUUGGUUGUAAUCGCACUUUUCACUAGGCCGCCAAUCUAAAGUUGCACAUAUAAAAUUAUCAUCAGUUUUCGCUAUGAAAGUUACCCCUUUAACAAAAAGACAAACCAGAUCCUCACGACGGCUUGCACAAAAGUAAAGAGUAGCCAAGGAGAUGGAGAUGUGGGUUUUUGUUUGGCUAGAUAAUGUGGGACUUGUUGUGGGUGGGUGGCUUAGUUUUUGAGUUUUGAGAUGGAGAUGUGGGUUUUUUUUCGGCUAGAUAAUGUGGGACUUAAUGUGGGUGGGUGGCUUAGCUUUUGAGUUUUGAGAUGGAGAGUGAAGACAAACGCAGAGCACAGUAGAUGAAAGGGAAAGGAAGAAUGAGAAAACUUUUCUCUAAGCAACGGCUUUUUGUGUUAUCAGUUAUGUUAUUGUUAGGGUAAGGUUAACUGCAGUAUUUAUACCCCUCUUGUUUUUUGGUUGGUUCAGUUUGGUUCAUCAAUUUCAGUUUUAAAACUAAAACCGAACCGAACCGACCAGAUUUUAUGGUUUUGAAAAUUGAUUUAAUUGGUUUUUCAUCUUUAUUCAGUUUUCUCAGUUAAUUUUUCUUCAAUUUUUUUGGUUUUCUCGAUUGAUCGGUCUUUUUGAACACCCCUAAACCUAGUAAAUGUGGUUCCUCAAUCCUUUUUUAAGCCUUUGAUGAUUUUGGAUAAAUGUGUAUACAACAAUUUAUCAGUUAGAAUAGUAGAUGACAGUGUUAAUAAGCAUAUCAAUGUUAUCAAACCUAUCUGCCUUACCUGAUGUAGGCUAGUAUCUAAUAUAAAUCUUAAUGACCAAACAGCUAUCAAAUAUGACAGAAGCCUUCUUUCUUUCUUUUCCUCAUAUUUUAAACUUAUAUUUCUUUUUCCAACCCUAUAAAAUACUUGAAAAUCUAAAAAAAUAAAUUCAAAAAGUGUGAUGCCUUUUAGAUUUUGUCAUCUAGUAGUAUUUAACACUACAGUUACAAUUAAAAACACAUAUAAAUAUAAAGAGCAACAAAAUUAUUAAUUGUCAAUAUAUGUGAUGAUUUUAUGGCUAGAAAAAAUAUAUAUAAAUCUUUAUGCAAAUUGUAAAGAAUUUAAACUAUGAUGAUUAGGGAUGACAUUCAUACAAGAAAGCAACAUUUUCAUCAUUGUAGCAAUUGAUAACUUAUUUUUUACAUAUAAAGUGAUGAAAAUAUUUUAUUUUAAAAAAAAAUUCAUGCAAUGAGGAUAUCAAGAAAACCAGAGAUUUAAUUAUAGGUUUUAAUGUAUAUUAGUAAUGAGCUUGGUAUUGCUAUUUUGAAUUCAAAGUUUUGAACUGCCAUUUUUUUCUUCUUUUGAUCCUCUUAUCAACAUGCGUAUUAUAAAAGUAUAUGCAUCUAAUAACAAUGUAUUGCAAAAUCAUUUAGUUUAUUAACACGAAAACAAUGCAUUGCAACAUUCAAUCGGCAUGCUCCCCAUCACCAUUAGAGUUUGUUAAUUUGUGAGAGAUAAUAUUAACAUUUUUCAAUAAUAAGGAUAAGACUGAAAACUUUUCAAUUAUAAGAGUCAAAGCAUAAAAAAGCAAAAAUGAUCUUGGAUAUUAAUUGUUGGAGUUUUUUUUUUUUAAUUAGCCAACUAGCAAAAAACAAUUUCAAAAUAGGAUAGCUAGAAGUUUAUUCAUUAAAAUAGCAUAAUUUAUUGAGAUGUUUAUUUGUCAAAUACACAUCCAAAUUUAAGGUUGUACAAGUAAUACAUGUGUAAUCUUUAAAUAUAUUUUCUUAAAUUUAAAGAUUGUACAUGUGCAUUCCAACAAUCUAUAUUUUUUUAAAAAAAAAAUGAUUUUUAACUAUGCUAUUUUGAUAAAUAAAAAAAACAAGAUGAAGAAGAAAUUUAGUCAUCGUGAUAGAGUUUUUUGUUUUUUAGCACAAUUAAAAAAAUUAACACAAUUGAGAAAAUAUUUAGGGAUAUAGCACAGUUUUACGAGUUGCAAAUAACAACUGCGACACGCGAGUCACAGAUAUCAUCUACGACUCUUAUUUUAUAUUUGUCAUUUGCAACACGUGAGUUACAAAUAGCACCUGUGAUUUCAUUCGAAAUUUAAACCCAUAGACCAUUUCUCUCCUUUCCUCCUCUCUCUCUCUCCCCAUAUCCACCCACCCUGCUUCUUUCACCACCAUCAACAACCUUCCUCUCUCUCUCUCUCUCCCCCUACCGCGAAACACACCCACAACAACACAAGAUCACCCAUCUCUCUCCAGCCCUAGAUCACCGACCAUCUCUCUCUCCCCCCCCCUCCACAACGGCUCAUCCAUUUUCUAGCCAAAAUAACCACCACAAGUCACCAUCACUACCCACAUUCUAAAUUUAGAGGUAUACUAGAUAGGUGGCUCGUGCUACGCCGUGAGUCGGUUCAUAUUUUUUUAACACAAGAAAAUAAUAUUUAAACGAUGAUAAUCCACAAAUCGAGUUAAAUUCACUAAAGCACGACUGAGGAUAUAAGACCGAAACAACUCGUAGAAAGGAAAGUGAAAAAAAAUCAUAAAGUUCAAGACCUAAUAACCUAAUGUCAAAAAUGAAAAAUAUAUAUAUAAUACUGAAGAAGAAAACCCGAGUCAACUUGGCCUAACUUUAUAAACCUGCAACCUGUGAUAUAAGAUCAGGAUAAACAAAAUGAAAUUCAAAAGAAGUACCUAGCAAAAAAACAAAGUUCAAAAAAAAAACUUGAGCUAACUUAGGUUAUCUUUACCAACCCACCAUCGUAAUAACCAAAUAGAAAGAAAAGCAAAAAACUGACAAAGCUCUGGGGCAAAUUAUUUCAUGCAAAAUGAUGAAAUUGAAAAAAAAACUCAUAAAAAAUUGAGGAAAAAAUCAGACUUCCAAAAGAAGCACUUAGAAAAAAAAAUACCAAAGUUAAAUAAAAAAACUUAAUAAGAAAAUGCAAGUUAACUCGGGUUAACUUUACCACCUCACACUCGGGAUAACUCAUCACGAACUGACGCGUGCAACUAUUUUAAAUAAUAUUUAAUAAAACAUGAUCUAUGGUCAAUAAUUCAAUGGCAAAGGAUAAAAUUAAAAAAAGUCAACUGAAAAAAAAAACAAGUCAACUCAGGUUAACUCAACUAACUUGUUAUCCGAGAUAUGAGGUAGGGAUAACCCAACAAAAAGGAAAGCAGAAUAUAUCACAAAACUCAAGACUUAAUAAUUCAAUGUCAAAUGAUGAAAAUGAGAAUGAAAAAAAAAUAAUUUUUAAAAACAAAUUUAAAAAAGACCGAACUUAAACCGGGUGCAUCAUCGAAACUUGUAGACCGAGUCAUGAGACUGGGAUUACCCUAUAAAAGGCAAACACGAGAAAAUCAAAAAGAAAAACUUCAAAUCAUAAAAAAAUAACUAAAAUUAAAACAAUAAGGACUAAAUCAUGCACACAAAUAAUUGAAAGAAACUAAUCAGGGAUUAAAUGAAAAAACAAAAUAAAUGAAGAAAAAGAUAAAAAAAAAAAAAGAGCAAUAAAAAAAACUAGGACCAAAAUUGGAAACCAAAUAAAAUCAAAUUAAACUACUAAGGACAAAAUUAAAAAAAAAAUCCAAAGCAUAAAAAAUAGCAAUCAAAAUAAUGAGGAUCAGAUUGGAUAAAAAAAAUCUAAUAAGAUUAAAUGAUGAGGGACGAAAUUAAAAACAAAAUAAACUUAAAGAGGCAUCAAAUCUAAAAAAAAAAUAGAAAUCAAACGAAUGAGGACCAAACCCAAAACAAAUAUAAACUGGAGGAUACAACUGAAUUUUUAAAAGCUUUGCACGAAUACCAAGGCCCAUAAGAGAAAAAGAAAAGGGAUGAGGAAAAAGACUAAUCUUUGUCGAACUGUCGCUCAAAUGACAAAACACGCCACCUUAACAUAUGUGUCGCCACCUUCCACGUUAGGUGAGUAAGCGAUCAGCCUUUUUUGACCACCAUAAUGGCCCCUAUAGGCCACUAAAAUGGCGUGGAGGGUGAUGAUGCGCUUACGUGUGUGUGGCACGCGUAGGCCUAUUAUAUUUGUUUAUUGAUAUUAUAAUAAUGCAAAUUACUAAAAAGGCUCUACGGACAUAUGAAUAUUACGAAAAAAAAAACAUGGAUGUAAAUAUGAAAAUACCCUCCCAAGGUCGUAUAUGAUUUUUUGAAGUCAAAGGAUAAACUGAAAUUUGAUUGUACAUAAAAUGUGCAUAGACAAAAAAAAAAAAAAAAAAACCUCUUUUAAAGGCUAAUAUUUUUUAGGCCCGAAGGGUACAGACUUUAUUUAACUGUAUAAAUCAAUUUGUAAAGACACAAAAGUCCCUAGACCAAAGGCUAUUUUUUUAGCUCCCAAGGGCAACAUAGUAUUUUUACUGCACAUAAAAAACACAGAACGACUACUUUGUCCUCGAUCAAUUCUCAAAUGACAUUUGGGAUCCCAUGGAAAAUAUGACUUUACCCUCACUGCCAAGGCAAUUGGUAAGUGCAAUAAAGCGCAAAAGGGCCAAUACACUGUCUAAAUCCACAGUGUUUUCACUCACAAAGCACAAUAAAUAACUGAGCUGAUUUAGUUUUUUAUUUUGUAAUUGAACACUUCUCCUCUAUCAAUUUGAUGUGAUUUAUGUUAAUGUGUAUUAAUUUAAUUUUAUAAAAUGUUAGGGUUUUGAAUUAGAGAUUAUAUUAGUUAGAUAUAAUUUGAGUUGAUAAUAUGUUGUUUUGUAAAAUAAUCAAUGAUUUUGGGUAGUUGUUGAUUAUGAAUUAACAAAAUUAUUUUGGAAGAGUUCAUGUUAAUUUAGGUUAAAUAGUGGAUUAUAUCGAAUUACAUAUAAAAUAAUUAUAAUAUUAGAUAUGAAAUACAUGAAUUUAAUUGAUAAUUUUGUUAUGGUAGCAAAAUUUGAUAAAGGUGUUCACCGAUUAAUUUGAUAAUUUUAGGUUUUAACCGAUUAUAUUACCUUUAUGGUUUUAUUGAUCAAUUAUGCACUUUGAUUAACUCCAAGAUAUUAAUAAAUUAGAAUUGUGUUGUGUUGUGUUGUGUUGUUUAAUAGAAUGUCUGGUAGUUUAGGAAUAUUAUACUUUCAUGGUGGUAUCAUUAUCAAUAACAACAAUGGUAUCACUUAUUAUGGAGAAAGCCAUGAAUUCCUAGCUGCUACAUUAGACAUGUCCCAUAAUAGGUUGUCUAGAAGAUUAUAUGAUCAACUUGGCUAGAAUAUGUUUGAAAUAGAAGUUAAAAUUACCUAGAGGAUGUAACAAAUCAGGAUCAGUUAAGCUCGUUAUGUUGGUGUACUAAUCUAUAGUGAUAGGAGUGUGAAUUCAAUGUUUGGGUUUGUGAGGAUUAAUGAGAUUAUUAUGCUAGAGCUCUACUUGAAUAGUAGACCAAGAUGAGAAAACUCUUCUAGUAUGGAGUUGACUCGGGUUCCAGGUAACUCUCAAAGAACCACACAGACAUCAUGAGAAACUAGUCCAUCAAGGUUUGGUGGUAAUGCAAAUAAAUAAGUAUUGGUGCAGGAAAUUUUUAAUAUAGAACCUUGGUUGAGUAUAACAUCUACUCUAUAUUGCUAUGAAGAAUAUAAACCAAUUGAUGGCGAAGAUGAUCGUCAUAUUAAUAGAAUUGAGGUUGAGGAGAAAGAUGGAGAUACUGAGUUAGUUAAUCCUGUUAAUCAAUACAUAGCUCCUCUUACUCUUGAAUUUAAGGUUACGAGUGUGGAUGACCAAUAUGAAUGCAAUGAUUUGGCUUAUAGUUGUAAGCAUUCAGCCUUGUCAGUUGAUGAAUUGGAAAUUGAAAAAAAAAUUCACAUACAAGUAUGAAUGUAUUAAUGCAAUAAAGCGGUGGCGUAUAAAGAAUUCAUUGCAGCAGAAGGUCUGUUAUUCAACUAAAAAUUGUGUUCAGUUGUAAUAUGUUUAGGAACCAAUAUGUAGAUGGUAUUUGCGUGGAGGAUAUCAUCAAAGUUAUAAUUUAAUGGGAAAUUCCAAAAUUGAAAGGGCUACACACAUGUCAGAACCCUCUUGUUUUGCAACACCAUCGUCAUAUUGACUCAGAUCUAAUUGUUAAGGUGAUGUUGACAAUUAUGAUGAGGGAUUUAAGUACAAGUGUUGCAACAAUUUAAGGUAUUGCAGAGAUGGAUUAUAAGCAUGAAGUCUCCUAUUGGAAGGUAUGGAUGGAUAAAUAAAAAAUAUUAAAGCGGUUAUUUGGUACACAUGAAGAGUCAUUUCAAAACCUACCUAGAAUGUUACUGGUCAUCAAAGACUUAAAUUCAGAAACAAUUGUCACUUAGGAUCAUAAAAUGGUUGAUGGUAAUAAGACAAUAUUUGGGGUAGCAUUUUGGGCACUUUGUGCUUCAAUUGAUGAGUUUCAAUAUUGUUAUCCUUUGAUUAUUAUUGACAGUACUCAUAUUUAUGGUAAGUACAAGGUAAAGUUAUUAGUUGUAGUUGCUUAUAAUAUGAAUAGUGGAGUUUAUCCGUUGUAUUUUGCUAUUGUUGAAGAAGAGACGAAUAAUAAUUGGAGUUGUUUUUUAGAUUUUCCUCGUCGAUAUAUGAUUGACAGUCAAACUGGAUUAUGUAUUAUAUCAGAUAGACAUACAAUGAUUAAGAAUUAUAUGGCAUGAAUUUUUCCCAAACCUAUUAGAUAUCAUCGAUAUUGUUCACAACAUUUUGUAAUUAACUUCAUCACUAAGUUAAAAAAUGUCGCCUUGAAAAAUAUGUUGCAUAGGAUAUGUACAAAUCCUUCUAAACAAGAGUUUGACAUUUUAUAUGAGGAUUUAGUGGAGACUGAUGAUACGAUCAGAGCAUGGCUAAAAGUUGAACCUAAAGAAAAAUGGGCAUUGUCGUAUGAUUUAAGUGGUCAUUGUUAUGGAAAUAUGACUAAGAAUUUAUUAGAUAUUUUUAAUAAUAUUUUAAAAAUUAUCCAUGGCUUGCUUGUAUCAGUUAUAGUGUAUAUAAUAUUUUUUUAGGUGUAAUGAAUAUUUUGUAGAGCGUAGAGAAAAAAUUAAAGAUUUUUUUAGUUGUGAUGUAUUAUGGCCUUAAAAAAAUCCUAUCAGAAAUACUUGUCGAUGCGACAACUUCUAGAUCACACUUGAUAUCUCUAUUUGAUCUUGGAGGCGGGAUAUUUCAUUUUCAGACACCUCUAACAGCUAGUGUUGCAAGAAAAGUGCAGGAAACGAUUAACAUCAAUGAAGUAACAUGUACUUGUAGCAAAUGACAACUAUAUCAUUGACCAUGUUCACACUUAAUUGCAUGUUGCACUUUAUAAAAUGUGAACUAUGUGCAAUUUGUUGAUGAUUUCUACUCUAACUUGUUAUAAAAAAAAUGCAUAUAUUCUUCAUUUUCAACCCUUACCAUAUACGUCAUUGUAGCCUGCAUACACUAGUCCAGAUGUAUAUGGAUGUCAAACUAGAUGGUGAACAAAUAAGAGUCGAAGAAAAUCCACUUGUCUACAUGAUAAAAUGGAUGCUAGAGAGAGGCACUUAUUGAAUAGAUAUGGCAUAUGCGGUCAAAGGGGUCAUAACAGAAAAACUUGUGAAACUAGACAACGUAUGUUAUUUUUUUGUAUUUCUUUUAAAUUAUGUAAACUUCAAUUAUUGUUUUUAAUUCAACUAUUUUGAUGUUUAAUUGUAUUGUAAAGACUAAUAAUUUGUUAUAUAGAACUUCAAGAGAGACAUGGUGUAGACUAUAGGAGGUUUCACUACUUCUAGGAGUGCCGAUAGAUAGGACCACCUAGUUGUUGAGGCUGGUUUUGAUGAUAGGUUGGUUUUAUAUAUGCAAGAUCAGCAUCGUUCUAAUGAUAUUUGGAGUAGAGAGGUUAGAUCUUUAUAUUAAUAGCAUUUUAAUUAAGCAUUAUAAAUUAUUAAAAUCUUAAAGAUUUUAAUUGUUUAAAUAACUAAAUUGUUUGAUUCUUAAGGUGGUGAUCAUGUGAUACCUCAACAUCAUACCUUAAUGAAGUUACAUGAGCAUGUCCGCUUAUUUGUUUUCGAUGCUCGUUUUUAGGAGAUUAGUCAACAGUGUGGCAUACAUCUUAACCAUGUAUUGAUUGUAGCUUUGGUUGAGCGAUGGAGGCAUGAGACACACACAUUUUAUCUAUGUGUUGCUGAGAUGACACUCAUACUUUUAGGAUGUUACUAUAUUGACCAAUCUUAUAAUAAAUGCAACCACUGUGAUAGGAUAUGAAGAGUCAAUUGACAUGUAAGUUUUAUGUAAUCUUUUAUUAUGACAAGUGUUUUUAACGAGUAAGUGAUUACAUCAAAUUGACAUGGUUAGAAAUUAAUUUUAAGACCUCAUAGUAGAUACUCGGGGCUUCCAUAAUACUCUAUCAUCGUGAUACACACACACACACACACACACACACUCGCGCGAUGUCGCAGGAUUGUAUGUUGUCAUGGGUUUGUGAAAAAAAUCAUAUGGAGAAAAAUUGUUGUAAUCCAUAAUAUUUUCAAGGAAAAAACUACAAAGUUAAAUUCUCAACCAGCUUAAAAUUAAAAAAAUAAAAUCAACAAAGAUAAUUUUAAAAAAAAUCAGAAACAAAAAACGAAAGGGAAAAAAAACCAAGCAGGAAAACACUGUAGCAAUCUAUAGUGUUUCAUAAGGAAUUCUAAAGUUAUAAUUCUCAACCAGCUCAAUAUUAAAAAUAAUAAAAUCGAUAAAGAAAAUUUUGAAAAAUAUCAUAACAAAAAAAAAUUCAUGUGGGGGAAUACUGUAGCAAUCCACAGUGUUUUAAAGAAAAAAACUACGAAGCUAAAUUCUCAACCAGCUCAAUAUGAGAAAAAUAAAAUCAACAAAGACAAUUCUAAAAAAAAUCAUAAAAAAAGGAAAAAAAAACCAUGUGGGGAAACACUGUAGUACUCCAUAGUGUUUUAAAGGAAAAAACUACAAAGCUAAAUUCUCAACCAGUUCAAUAUUAAAAAAAAAUCGACAAAAACAAUUCUGAAAAAAACAACACAAAAAAAAAGACAAUUUUGGAAAAAAAAAGGAAAAAAAUUAAUAAAAAAAAUGAAAAAAAAAACAUGUGGGGAAAGUUAAAACUAAAUUCUCAACCAGCUCAAUAUUAAAAUCAUUUAGGAAAACACUGUAGAAGUCUAUAGUGUUCUGUGAGGAAAUAUACAAUUGUAAUUCUCAAUCAGCUCAAUAUUAAAAAAAUAAGAUCAACAAAGAUAAUUUUGGAAAAUAUCACACAAAAAAAAACAAAAGGAAAAAAAAUCGUGCAGGGAAACACUGUAGCAAUCUAUAGUAUUUCAUGAGAAAAUCUCCAGUUGUAAUUUUCAACCAGCUCAAUAUUAAAAAUAAUAAAAUCGAUAAAGAUAAUUUUGAAAAAAAUCAUAACAAAAAAAAUCAUGUGGGGAAAAAUUGUAGCAAUUGUGUUUUAAAGAAAAAAAACUACAAAGCUAAAUUUUCAACUAGCUCAGUAUGAAAAAAAAAAAUUCGAUAAAGACAAUUUUGAAAAAAAAUCGAUUAAACAAAACAUGUGGGGAAACACUGUAGCAAGGCAAAAAUCAUGUGGGGAAACACUGUAGCAAUCCACAGUGUUUUAAAGAACUACAAAACUAAAAUCUCAAUCAGCUCAAUAUAAAAAAAAAUCGACAAAGAUAAUUCUAAAAAAAAAAACAAAAAAAUCAUUAAAAAAAACCUUGUGGGGAAACACUAUAGCAAUCCACAGUGUUUUAAAGAAAAAAACUAAAAAACUAAAUUUUCAACCAGCUCAAUAGUAAAAAAAAAAUCGACAAAAAUAAUUUUGAAAACAAAUUAAAAAAAAUAAAAUAAAACAAAAAAAAAAGAGGACAAUUUUGGGAAAAAAAAAUAGAAAAAAAUAUAUAUGGGGAAAGCUAAAGCUCAAAGCUCAACAUUGAAAAAAUAAAUUCAACAAAGAUAAUUUAAAAAAACAACAUGUGGGGGAAACACUACAGCAAAACAAAACCCAUUUUGAGGAAAUACUGUAAUAAUCCACAAUGUUAUUUUUAAAAAAACUACGAAGUUAAAUUCUCAACUAACUCAAUAUGAAAAAAAUAAAAUCGAUAAAGACCAGUUUAAAAAAGAAGAAAAAAAUCAUAAAAAGAAAAAAAAAUCAUGUAGAGAAAUAUUAUAACAAUCUAUAUAAAGAAAAAAACUACAUAGCUAAAUUUUCAAUCAGUUUAAUAUUUAAAAAAAUUAGUAAAGUUAAUUUUAAAAAGAAAACAAAAACAAAAAAAUCAAUUUUAAAAAAAAAACAUGUAAAGAAAAAAAACAAAAACUAAAAGAAUAACACGUGGCCCCACGCGUUUUAGAGUUACUGGUAAUAAUAAUAAUAACACUCUUUAACAUGUGAGGAGCGAUUGGACAUGUCGGCUAUUUAAUAAGGAUUUCAUCAUGACCGUUAGAUCGCCGUCGUUUCCUACUCUCUUCCAACACCAUUAAUAAUAAUAAUAAUAAUAAUAAUGAUAAUGAUAAAUAAUAAAUAAUAAAUAAAGGGACACAAAUCCUAAUCACGUCACUCGCACACGGUUUUCGCGCAUCCAUUCUCCGUCUCCGAUCUUCAAAAGCUUAAAGAACCCUAACCCUAACCUUCAAAAUUUCCCAAUUUCCAUCACUCAAAUCAAUUGCUUGUGGAAAGACUAACCCUAAUUUAUUCUAAACCAUCAUGCUACUCUCUCCAGGACACUCACCACGCCACCUUUCAUCUCCGUCACCAUAUUCAAAUUCCGAAAAUACCCUCCAGAUCUCCAGCAAUUCCUCCUCGAUCAACAACACCCCGAUAAACCCUAGUAAACACCCCACAGUUCUUGACGAGGACACCUAUGUGGCCACCAUCGAGAAAAUCAUCGAGCGCGACUUCUUCCCUGAUAUCUCGAAGCUACGUGACCGUCUUGAUUGGCUCGAAGCUAUGAAAUCGGGCGAUCCGAUCCAAAUUCGAGAUGCCCAGUUGAAGAUUAUGGAGCGCCGUGGCAAAAAGGUAAACAAUCCCAGCUCCGACGGCAGCUUUCGGAGUAGAAAUCGAACCCAAACCCCAGGUUCUACUUUUAUGCGUAGUCUUACUCCAUUUGAUGAAUUUGAUAGCAGGAUUCAAACACCUGGCGUUGUUAUGGAUAGGGGAUUAUCUAGUAAUGCAGAGUCUAAUGAGAAUGAAGUUGCUGUUGAUAAGAAUUUGAGUUUAGACGAAUUUUUUAGGAGAUAUACGAGUGAGGAUAACGAUAGCUUUUCAAAGAUAUUAGAGAAAGUGAAUAGGAAAAGGAAGGAGAGAUAUGAGCAUUUGUUAGAAGGUGAAAAGGAGGAUGUUAAAUUCAUUGGGGAUGCGAAGAGGGAUAGGAUUACAGAUGGUUUUGGAACUUCUGAUCAGCCACCGAGCACAUUGGAAGGAUGGAAGUACACAGCGAAGAAUUUGCUGAUGUAUCAUCCGGCUGAUAGGGGUGAGGCUCCAUUGACUGAGGAGGAACAGGCUGUUAGAUUGAAGGGUUUGACUAAAGAAAUCAAUAGGUCCAGCACACGUUUUCAUGGUAAGAUGUUGGAUACUAGGCCAAGAGAUGAUGGUGUUGUUGAGGUGCUUUAUACUCCUGUAGCUGGGGCUACUCCACUUCCUAUGUAUGAUAGGGACGGGGAUAAGGCAAAGAAGUAUGAUUUGGAGGAUUUGAGGAGGACACCAGAUAGGUUUUAUGUGGAAUCAGGGAAGAAGGCAGAUGAUGGGUAUAGUUUUGUUAGGACACCAUCACCGGCUCCUGGAGUUGAUGAGUCGCCAUUUAUUACUUGGGGUGAGAUUGAAGGGACACCAAUGAGGUUGGAACCUGAGGAUACCCCGAUUGAUAUUGGUGGUAGUGGCAAUGGGCCGCAUUUUAAAAUCCCUAAUCCACCUGCACGGGAUGUGAAGGCCCAUUCAUUGUCGAGGGAGGCUUCGCGAAGGUUGAGGGAGAAGUCAAAGAUGUUUCAAAAGCCACCGCUGCCCUCUCCAAGUAGAGGGGGGAGCGCUAGUCCAAGUGUGCGGACGCUCUCUCCUGCUGCACAGAAGUUUGUGAGGAAUGCAAUUUCCAGGUCUUCAUCCUCUGUAGAUGAAACCCUCCGUGCCAGUUAUAGAGGGGCAAGUCCAGGAGUUGGUACUCCUAAGAGUGGAAGGAGUAUCUCGAGGUUUGGAAGAGAUGGGAGCAUAAGUUCCAGGUCACCUUCUGUAAGGGAGAAUUCUAAUCCUCCUUGGUAAACUGUAAUCUUUUCAAUAGUGUUAUAUUCUGCCAAGCAUUUGUUUAAUGGCAGCAUUUAUUAGCUAUAAAUGAUGCCUUUUGUUUUUAAGGAACCAUGUACCAUCGCCUUUGUUUUCUUUUUUCCUCUGUUUCUAUAUAACUUGUGGGUUUAAUGAAAAGAAGAAAUUAUGAAGGAUGUGUCAUGCGGGAAAUUAGUAUUCAAUAACUGCUCUUCCAAUUUAAGGGUUCCAUUUUUAUUUUUUAUUUUUGUGUAUGUGUGGUUUGAAGGAAAGAUGUCUUGGAUUCAAGUUCGCUGUUUUGGUAAGCCGGUCAGACAUUGUCAAUUCUCAGUUUUGGCUAUGCUGAAUAAGUGUGAGGAUGGCAGAAAACAUUGAAUUAUUUGAUGUGCAAUUUAAAUUUCUUGAGGACAUCUAAUUGGAUCCUCAUGUUGGAUCAACUUAUUGUUCUAGUUAGUAGGUUGCUUGAUAGAAGUCAAUAAAUUCAUUUUGAUUGUUAGGGUAGUCUGGCCAAUACGAAAGGUGCUUCUGAAAUGCAAAACAAAAUACUUCAUAUUCUAUAACCCCUUGAAUUCAAACAAUAAUCCAUUGGGAUUAUUAAUAUGAUUCUCAGAUUACAAGGCUGCUGCCAUGUUUAUGCUUCACUCAUUACAGUGUUAGCAAACAGGGUGCUGCAGAUGAUAAUAAAUAUAGAAAAUGAUUUCAUUGUUAAUGGACUGCAGUGCUCGAUGUUCAUAAUAAGAAGACAUUAUUAUAGAAGUUUAUUAGUUAAGCAGAGACCAUGGUAAGCGACUUGGUUAUCAUCUUCUGGGCCAAAUGCUACCAUUGUGAUGUUUUUCUCUUUCUUUUUAUUGAAGAGGUGUCUAAAACAAACAAAAGGAGGGUAGGAAGAAUCUCCGUGAUUUAGGUCUCUUCCUCUUCUUUAAUGGAUGGUGAUGGCCAUACUUAUUUUAGUGGAAUCCAGAGGCAAUGUACUUUUCCGGUGACCAGGGGCUUGUCAGGUGAAGGUCCAAUUGAGAUAACAUGUUGUCAAUCACAGUUUAUAUAUCUUGACCACCAUCGGCACUCCAUGAUUUAGUCCUUCUGCUGGACAAGCAACAAGUAGCAGGAUGGUUUUAGAAAGUGAUGCCGAGAUUCAAUGUUUCAGUUAUCGGGCAUUGGAGGCAAGCACGGGUAACCCAUGAAAGAGGACAGUGAACAUGCUCAAACUCCAUUGCUUUAAGCGCAGAUACGUCUAGAGUCAGGAAUACAAAUUAAAUCUCUGUUUGUUUGAUUAUAGAGAACAAGCCAGAAUAAAAUAUAUACUCUGUGUAUUCCAUGCUAAGGAUGAGAUUUUUGUUUUCUACUCAUCAAUCGGCUUCACUCGGAGGUUCAGUUGCUGAGAUCAGUGGACAAGAACAAGCACAGCAUUGCUUAGCUCCCUCAAUUUGAAAGCGUUGAAGAUGUGGUCUGAGCAGGCUUGAGAGUGGUUGGAAUUUCUUCAUUUGCAUGAUUGCAGGCCUCUUUCACAGAGAUUUGAAUCGCAGCAACAUUUAUGUCAAUGGGAACAGUAUUGGCCAGGUAGGUAAUUAAUCACUGCUCAAAUCUUGCUCGGAAUCAUGUUCUUCACACCUUCAGUUAUUUCUAGGUUCCUUUUAGUUGGUGGGGAGCUUUACAGAAUUAUUAUUAUUAUUAUUAUUCACACCAUUCAAUUAUUAUGAAGCUAUGCCAGGACUAGAAAUUGUUCCCUGUGAUAUUAUAUAAAAGGUGUAAUAUUUUUGCUUAUUAAUUUAAAAAAGUUGGAAAUUUGAAAUAAACCUCGACUUCAAUUAAUUGGGUUACAGAAACCAUCGUAGACUAGACAUGACUUGAAAUUUCUCUUCUGCAGGAGGUUUUGCCACACCCCAGACCAGUGCGCUUUUGAACGGUGAAGAUUGGUCGUCAGAAUGGUUUUAUAUGACAGAAUCUGAUUAGGAAUGUAAAACCUCAAGGAAAAAAAUCAGGUUUUCAUGUAGGGUAUAGAUACUAACUAGUCUACUCAACCCAAACCCAAGCUGAAACCAACUCAAAAAAAAAUAAUAACCUUAUAUAUCAAGUUAAUUAUGUACUAAAUUAUAGCAUUUAGGUUUGGGUUCGGGUUAGUUUCGGAUUAUGAAUACUCAAAACCUAAUCAGGUUUAGGUUCAGGUUCGAGAAACUCGAUUCAUGAUAUUCAUGCUAAUGUUCGCCAUUUAAAUUACAAAACAUUUUAAGUUCACAGCAGCUUAGUUGUUGAAAACCAUUUAUUGCAAAAGAUGAUGGGGAAAAAUAAGAAGUAUCGCAUGUCGAGCAAAACUCAGAAAGAACAAGGGGAAAAAAGACUGAUUGAAAUAAUUAAAAAGGGGGGAACCCAAAUCCUUAGCUCUUUCUAAUGAUUUGCCCUCCCCUGUCCAAACAAAGCCUGCAUAUCAUCUUCGACACACAUAAUUAAACCACUUGGAUGCUUCCAUGAACUUUCCCGACCAAAAGAAAGGAACUGUUAAAAAAAAGGUACAGCACAUCUUACCGAAGAGUCAUACUGCUUGUGCCUACGCAUACAUAGAAUACAAUAGAACCCAAAAAGACAGUAGGGAGCACUGCGCCUCCUCUGUCAAAUAAGUGCUAAGUCACUCAAUUCAUAAAGGCAUUAAGACUUGAAAAAUGAAUAAAGUAGUGGUUAAUAGAUGCCUCGCAUCAAAAGCAGGAGUUUCUACUGUACAAUACCACGACGUUCUCUGAUAUAGCCUAAACACAAGCAAUAACAACUCACAUAAAAGGUGGAGUUGAAUUCUAUAAUCCCAGACAUGAUCGAAAAUAUUUAUAUCAGAUGCUUCUCUAACUUAAAUAAUCAGAAUGAAAGUGCAAUCUAAUCAAGAGAGUAGACACACAGAACCUGCAACGUGGGCAACACUGAAUUUUAUCAACAGCACAUCACCAUGCAUAUAAAAGCCAGAUCACGCCCAACCAUAAGCAUGAAUCUAAUUUAGUGAAGUAUUAGAUGAGCAUCUUCGAAAUAUAAUGUGAAUUUCUCAAUUGGAAAAUAACUUUCAACAUCCCUAUAUUAAUGACCUAAUUCUAUAAGCUACAUGGUAUCCUGAAUAUUAGAGUCUUCAAACGAUAAUGGUGCGAGUAUUCUUCUACAACUACUGGUUGUCCCCCAUUUUCAGACACUUAUGGUGUUGCUCUUGAGCUGCUGCCAGAAUAAAAUGAACAUUUUACUGCUUGUUAAUCUGCAAUGAAAUGCAUGGCAAACAUCAAAAUGUUUUGCUUAAAGAUUAAUGAACACGAGGUAGAAAACAGCAAGCAUAUUAAAAGUACCUACAGAAGAAUUAUCAUGGCAAGGCCUUCUUUUCAUGCUCCAACACUGUUAUCACCCUGCUUUGCAGCAUCCUCAACAGUAUCAAGAGAUAUUGGAAAAUCCUCUAUUGUAGCUUUGGCUUUUGGUUGAUCAAUCUUGUCAGCAGCAUCCAAGAGAGUUGAAUCACUGGCCUCAUCUUUUGUAUCAGGAAGCUGCAAGUCUUUUGCCUCUUCAAUUGUAUCAGGGAGCAGCAAGUCAUCGGCUUCUUUAAUUGCAUCUGGAAGCUGCAAGUCAUUGAUCUCUGCAGUUGCGUCUGGGGGGAGCGAAUCAUUUUCCUCUUGGGUUGUAUAAGGAAGCUGCGAGGCUUUGAGCCUUUCAUUCGUGUCAGGAAGCUGCGAGGCUUUGAGCCCAUUUGUUGCAUCAGAAAUAUGCAGAUCGUUGAUCUCAUCAAUAGCACCAUUGGGCUGAACCUCAUUAAUUGUUGCAUCAAAGAGUCCUGAGUCAUUGACCUUGUCCGAUGCAUCAGGAAGCUGAGAAUCAUGAUCACUUAUUGUUGCCUGACAAGUUUGUGAGUCAUUCAUCUUAUUUGUUGGCUCACGGGACUGGGAAUCAUCAAACACUUUACUUGCCUCACCAUAUAUUUUUCUGUCGUUGACCUCAAUAGUUCCAUGACAAGGCUGAGAGUCAUUCACACUGUCAGAGUCUCUACAAGAUUGAGAGUCAAUGAUGUCCUUUGUAGCAUUGCUAAGCUUCGCACCAUCUUCCUUAUUAACCACAUUUGGCAGCUCUUCACUGUCACCCUCGCCAGCUGCAUGAGAUAGCUGUUGAGGAUCAAAAUUAUCAGUUGCCUGGCAUAACAGCAACUGACCAACCUCGCCAUCUGCCUGAUGCAAGUGCAACUGAUCAGCCUCGAUAAUUGUACCAUAAAACUGAGGCUGGUCAUCCUCACUUGCUUCCUGAUAUUCCAUUAGAUCACCCUUUCUCCUGCGUUUCCCAAUACCUUUCCUUCUUAUCCUCUCCUUCCCCCUUGACCUUUUUCCUAGUUCAAUUUGUGGGGGGACUGAAGGUGUGGCUGGACAUUCAAUCUGGUCCCUUAAACAGUCCUGCGCAAUAAACCUGAUCCUUGAAAUUGACUCAAAUUGCUGUCCAUCCAACCCUUUUGUUGAGAAUGAAUCCGCUAAAUAAGCAAUUUCCCUUAGACCAGAGAUCUGUGACAGUUAAAGAAUAGACCAUUAAAGAUUAUUAUAAAAAGUAAAUGUAAUAGCAAAAUUGAAGUUUGAGCAUAGUCCUACCGUCCUUUGGAACUCGGAUGAGAGAGAGAUUGGCCUUCCAACAACUUUACGAGUCAUUUUCCAGUACCAUUGCAUGUAGUCGCUUUCAUCUACACCAUCAUCCCCAUCCACAAUAUGGAGUUGACGAUCCAUCCAUUCAUUAAGCUCCGACUCCAUUUUCCCAGACAAGUCGACCCCACCAUCAACUCCUCGACUCUUUCUCAGCCACCGCUCCACAUCUUCUGGGAUUGGUUGAAGCAUGCCAUAUUGCCUUAGGCAACGGUCAGGAAGGUGUCUUUCUGCCUUGUCGAAGCAUAUGAGCAUUGUCUUUGAUCUCCCUAAAAUCAAAGUAUUUUUUAUAUCUUUUGGUAUUACAGUACUGUCCAUAAUUUUGUAAGGAAGCCACUCCACCUAUGUGUCAACACCACACCAGUUGAAUUAGAAUUUUUUUUAUUCGGUAAGUGGAAUAAGAACUGAACUGAAAGCAGUAAAAACCUACAUCAGUUGUUUUCAAUGAGUCCAGUGCCUUGCGGUAGAAAACAACAUCACGGUUUGUUGUUGGCCCGCUUUGUUUUCCCUUCCAUCUAAGUACAAAUGGAAAAUGAUCGUGGAUGGGGUCCCGAUUAAGCUUUGGUCGGCCCACAUUUAGGUGAAAGUAGCUCCAACACUACAGAAAGCAAGAACCAGUCAAUACCAAUAUUAUAUAUCCUAGGAUGAAAUUAGUUGCUGAAAGAAAUCCUUGCAGCACGCAUCCUGACAAAGAAAAAUAAAUAAAUAAAGGACACACCAAUCUCCAAGAUGAUCAAUGGAUAGCUAUAGUUAAAACAUAAAUAACCUGCAGUAGUGUUAAGCAACCACAAAUGGUACUUUGAGAUUUAACACAUGCAUUGCCGAGUGCUCUAUACAAGAAAGCUAAUGCUGCUGCUCCCCAGGCAUACUCCCCAGCUUCUUCAAAAUACGCAAACAAAGGAAGGUACAUUACUGGAACCUUAUUCCCAGUGGUGGUGGAAAAUAUUGUACUGCCCACAAGGUACAGAAGAUAAGCACGAGUGCAAUGCUCAACUUCUUCAAUAGGUGCAUCUUCAGAACAAUGAGAAAAGAACUCCUUCAACCAACUUAACUUCACCAUCCCGCCACUCGCGUAGCUAGAGUCUGGUGCUUUCCCUAGAAGCCCUUCACAAACCGAGGCACAAGUGGUGUGUGUUAUUCCAAUAACAGGCUUCCCAUCAAUCGCAAGUCCGAGCAACAAUGCAACAUCUUGGAGAGUAACAGUCAUUUCACCAACAGUGAAGUGAAACGUGUUGGUCUCUCUCCUCCACCUCUCAACAAGAGCUGAGAUUAGAGGAUUGUCAAGACUAAUAGCCGGAAUCUUUCUCAAGUAACCAAAUCCAGCUUUCUCCACCAACUCAAUUUGUUUAGGAGUUAGCUUCCAUUCACCCAGCUUCGAGGUGUGUUCAUGGCAUCUUAGCGCACCACGCUCCUGAACACCACCACAUAAACAAAGUCUUAGCAGAACACAAACAAUGCAUGUGCUUUAAUGUAAUGAUCAUGAAAAGUAAGACACUAUGUUUCCACACAAACACCAACCUGGCCAUCCCAAACUGCAGAGGAGACAUGCUUGUCUUGAUCAUACAGUACACUACCAUCAAUGGGUCCGGGAUUCGUAUCCAUUCACUGCUUCCCACCACCACCACCACCAACAACGUAAGCAACUGCAACAACUCCAUUAUUAACCAUCCAAAACGCCUCUUUCAACAACUAGCUUGCAGUUAUUAUUAUUAUUUUGUAAUGAUAAUAAUGAAUUAGACUUGAAUCGAAAUCUUCCAUGGAUAUCCAAUUUUUAAUUUGCUUUAAACCUAGAUUAUUGUUCCUAUUGGCUAAUAGAUAAUUUACAAAAAUUAAAACUAAGAAAAAUCAACACCGUAGUUGUAUUAACUAGCUCUGGCUGCAGCUUCCGGGAAAAUGAAAAAACAAGGAGGAGGAGGAAUAGGGGAUAAAGGAAUUACGAACCUGAAAAAGGAGACUGGGAUAAAUUUUUAGCAAAACGACGACGGAGAAAGAGUUCUGAUUUAUCUCCCGCUACGACCAGGAAGGAACUGCUUCGAAAACAAAACGACGGGUUAAGCAUCGAAGCGACGUGAUAUCAAAACCUACAACUAAACCAGCCUCUCGUUUUGGGUUAAACGCGUGUCCUUAUACACGUGUCACUUUUUCAGUAGUCUGGGCGUAGCCCCAUUUUUUAAUGAUAUGUUUGGGCUAUCUACUGUUUCUUGAAUGGGCCAACUUAACCACCCAUUAAAAUUAUCAAGAAGAAUUUUGUUAUUAUUAUUAAUUUUAUUCAUUAAUAUUUAGUUGUUUUUGAAUUAGAUUUUGUGAUUUUUUUUAUUAAUUUUUUAUAGAAUUAUCAUACUUUCAAACCAAUUUUCUCAUAUUUAGUUGUCACCUAAUUUUGCGAGUGUUAAUUUUUGUUGUCAUGUAAUUAAAAUAUGAAAUAAUUUGAGAAAAAAAUAAAGUAAUUAAACCUAAUUGGGUGCAUGACUCAGACCACGAGUUUGACGGGUUCACUCUGUUUUUUUUAUCUUUUUUUUAAUUAAAUUUUUUUUCAAUCUCAUUCUUCAACAUUGGAUUGGUUGGGAAUUGGGUUUCAUAAUCUAUUUUGAUUUUGAUUUUUAAAGGGUUAUUAAGGUCUCAUGACCCAGGUUUCGAGUUUAGCAAAUUAACUUGAUUUAACCCGAAUCGAUCUAAAAUGUUGUCAAUUUGUCAUCUUAAUAAAUUUUUUAUAUAAAAAAAAAGAUGUUCAAUAUGUCACUAUCUUAGUAUUUAAAAACAUGAUGUCCAAUACGCCUCGGAUUUUGAAUUUAUAAUUAGAAUUUUUGUUUUUACUAGAAAACAUGUCAGCAACACCUGGAUAUUUUUUUCUUAUAUUAAAAAAAAAUAUUAUAUUACCCCAGGUAUGAAAGUUUAGAUGAACCUAAAAAGAUGAUGAAUUAAGCUGCCAAUUAAAAAGCUUUUUGAUAACUUAAAAUAAUAUAUAGCACAAACUAAUGAUUAUACAAAUAAUCUCAAAAUAAUAAUAGAAGCAAACUUAAAAAUGCACCAAAACAAUCAACAUAAUAAGACAGUAGAUAGAGUUAAAAGAGCAUGCAUCGGGAUUUUUAUACAAGUUCGGACAAUCAUCUACUUUUUUUUUAACCAUUGUUAAAGAGUUUACUAUCAUACACGGUAUUCUUAAAGGGGGAGACCAAAACUUUACACAAUGUUUUUCACGUGUAAAAGAUUGAAAACCUCUUCCAAUCCUUUUUCGGGUUCAAGAUUUAACCUAAUUUUUUUAUGGGCUCAACAUUAAACCCAAUCAUUUUACUGGCCCAAGAUCAAACUUAUCACACUCUGUUUAGAGAAUCAAGAUUAAAAACAUUUCUCAAUCCUUUUCCAGUUUCAAGAUUUAAUCCAAUUCUUUUACGAGUUUGAGUUGAAAACCAAUCCUCUUACACAUGUUAAAGAUCAAACCUUCCACCUAAUCUACAUAGUUAUCAAACCCAACUCGGAAGUUAACCCAACCAAGGGGCCGGGUUCCGGGUUUCAUGGGUCAACCCAGAAAAAUUACAAAAAAAAUAUUUAAAGUUUUAAUAUUUCAUAUGAAAAAUUAAGAAACAAUUCAUGUGAAUAUAGGCUAUACAUGUUGUAAAUAAUAAAGUUUAAAAGAAUAUUUUAAAAAGUUUUUUAUUCCACAUUGAAAAAACGUAACUUUUUUCUUGUGAACAUAGAGUAUAUAUAUUAAAGGGCUUCAAAUCCCACAUUGAAAAGAUAUUAUGUUAUCCUUUUUAAGUUGAAGUAUUUAAACCAAAAAGUUUUUUAUCCCACAUUGAAAAAACUUAACUUUUUUCUUAUGAACAUAGAGUAUAUAUAUGAAAGGGCUUCAAAUCCUACAUUGAAAAAUUAACUUUUUUUCUUGGGAGCAUAGAAUAUAUAUAUGAAAGGGCUUCAAAUCCUACAUUGAAAAAAUAAAAUAUUUUUCUAGUAUUUAUAUAGUAAACUUUAAAAAGUGUUAAUAACCAACUAAAAAAAUAUGAAAAAAAAGAGUAUAGGAGAAAAAUCACAUUUGAAAAAAAAUUUGAGUCUCGUUAGGGUUCACCCGGGUCAUAGGUCGACUCGCCAGAUCGACCGGGUUUUGCUAGAUUGUUGCAUUGGACGGUCUUUUAUCUUACCCAGACCAGUCCAGCCACUGGGUCCCGAGUUGACCCGUCAGGCCGGUCCAGGUUUAAUAACACUGCUAAAUAGCCAUGUAAUACUUGUAAAUGUACAAGAGUAGAAAAUCUUUCCUCACUAAUACUUGUAAAUGUACAAGUAUCAAGCCAUGUAAAUAGCCUUUAGAAGUCUUUUUCAAGUCUUUUAAGUGUCACUUACAUUUCCUUAAUAUUACUUUCUUAAUAGAGUUAAAUGGAAUACAAAUGGAGCACUUGAAAGAGUUUUGUCAAAAACACUUUAACCUUAUUUUUUGAUAAAUUAAAAGUAUAACAAAGGUUGUAAAAAGUUGUAUGAGACUAAAAAUAUGAUUAAAAUUUUACCUUGGAUGUUAUUUUUUAUUUUGCUGAAGAGGGGAAUAUUCAUAGGGGUAAAAGAUCAAGCUAGUCAUUAGGCAUACUCUUCAAAAAAUUUAUGUUUAUUAAAAAAUCGAUUAGAUCAUUGAUAAAACAGUUUAAACUGUUUAAAGAUGUUGGACAAAUUCUGAAAUUUUCAUAAAAUAGUUAAACCAUUUUCCAAACCGAUCAAACCAUUUCUCAAAAAGGUGAUUUUUUUUUUAAAUCAACUAAACUAAUUUAGAUUAUGUUUUUUUAAGUCUGUUUAGGUUUUAUAAGAGUGGAAAAUGGUUCCUAAACAAAUUAAAAGUUAUUUGAUAAACUCUCUAUAUAAGAUCUUGAUCUUUGAAGUUGAAAGUUGUUAUGCAUCGUGUUUCAUGUUUGAAGAUGAAAACCAUUAUUGUGUUAUUUUAUGUAUUCAUGCCUUGCUUCUUUGAUGAUUUUCUUAAAUGAUUCUAUACUCUUGAAUCCUGUACCAAUCAUCACCAAGCAUGUGCAACAUACAAAUACAAGUAAUAUAUUUUCAUACAAGCACUCAAAUAAAUUUAAGCAUUAAUGCAUCUUUCAUAUAAGCAUAUUAAUGCAACAAAUAAAGUCGAUCAAAGCAUUCUUAUAUUAAUUUAAGAUAUCAAUGUAAAACAUAUAUUUAAAUAUACAUUAAACAAUAUUACUCUUAUAUUAUGUUAUUAUCAUAGUCAUACAAUAUUAAUUACAUUUUUUUUAUAAUCAAAACCUUAGAUAAUUGGUGUGCAUCCAAACUAAUACAAUGUGAUGCAAGCAAUGACAUAAUAUUAUAUAAAAAUAUUUAUAUUUUUUGUUUAAAAAAUGAAUAAAAAUAAGUAUAAGCCUAUUUUGAAUCUUCAUCAAACCUAAAUUAUUUCCUCAUAUAAAUGAUUCUAUAAAGCAAUGCAUUGAACUUUCAUAAUUAUCUCAAUUAAAUUUUUUGUUAGGUUUUCAAACAAUUUAUAUAAUUUUUUGUUAUGAACCAAUGCAUUAUUCUUCUUAUGUUAGUUUAAAACAUCAAUGUAAAACAUAUACUUAAAUAUACAUUAACUCUUAUAACAUAAAUCUUACAAUAUUAAUUACAUAUUUUUUUAUAAUUAAAACUCUUGAUAAUUGAUAUUUGUCCAAACUAAUCCAAACUAAUACAAUGUGACACAUGCAAUAAUAUAAUAUUAUAUAAAAUUAUUUAUAUUUUCUGUUUCAAAAAUGAAUAAAAAUAAGUAUAAACCUAUCUUGAACUCUUCAUCAAACCUAAAUUAUUUCCUCAAGUAAAUGACUCUAUGAACCAAUGCAUUCAACUUUCAUAAUUAUCUCAAUUGUUUUUUUUAUCAGGUUUCAUACAAUUUAUACAAUUACUAAAGUAACUUCAAGCCAUAUACUAUAAAACAUUUAUAUUUAUUAUAUCGUAAUAUAUAGUUUAACUUAUCAUCAAGUAAUCCAAUUGAUUACUCGGUGAUUGUGCUAAUCAUUAAAAAUAAAAUACAACCGUUAUUCAAAAUGUAUAUUGUUAUAUUAAAAAAAGAAAAUAAAUGUGAUCAGAUCAUCUCUUUUCCAAACAUGAACCCUAGCCAUCAUCUUGAAUUCAAUUGUAUCCAAGAAUCCCAUGUUAUCAAAUCAUCUCACCAGGCUCAACAAUCUCGAUAGAGAUCUGGAUCUUGAACACUGGAUGGUGUUAGUUUCUUGCUCGAAUAAGAAGAGGUUUACCCAUCCAGAGAAUUCACUUUCCAAUGUGUGAAUAACAGCCUAACAACUAGUGUUGAGACCUGCAACCAAAUAUCAAUAAAUAUUUAGUAACCACAAAUUCCUAAAUAUGCUCAACCCUGAGAAAUGCAGUCGAGGGCUUUACCUUCUGUUGAAUGGCAAGUUCAGCUUUUCUCUUAUUCUUGCUUAAACUCUUCAUAUAGUUGGUAACAGACCUAUCCAGCUCCCAUCAUCAUGUUGGGAGAGUGAUGAACUCCUCUUUUAUAUUGCCUGUGCAAUGUUGUCCGGUUUCUCUGAAGGUAGGCUCUGAAGAUUUGUACUAAGCUUUUAUUUCUCGUCAUAAGUCAUGUCUCUCUUGUUUUUGAGCGGAAAAUAAAGGGUUAAAAAAACUAGAAAAAUAGGCAUUUUUAUAAAUACAAGGUUGAUAUUGGUAAAUGAAACAAAAUAAAACAUUGCUAAAUCCAUAGAAGCUAAAUUCUAAAAUACAAUUCAACUUUAUACAUCCUAAGUUUUUGGUCUUUCGUGGAAUUGCGAAGAAAGAAAAUAUCAUACAUUCACAUAAUUUUAAAAGGUAAUGUUUAUUGUACUCUCAAACAAGCCCACAUUCUAUGAAUUGAAAACUUCACUCGCUCUAUAAUUUGCCAGGGAUAUCAUUAAUUGGUGAGGAUUCAGCUACUUCAUUCUAUAUCAAGUGCCAAUAAUGAACUUCUCCAGUGAAAAAUGUAUGAAUUUACCGGUAAAUGAACAAAGAUUUUAUGUAAGAAAUCUCAUUCCAUACUAUAUAUUAUGAUCAGUACAUUGAUGUUUUCAACUUAUCUGGAACCAUGGAAGCCCCCAAUUCAGCAUUGUACAUAAACUGCAAUCUGCAGAUAAAAAAGAUAACUAAUGGGAAAGCCACGCGUGGGCUCCCAGUCAGCACAUUACAUGACUGCAGCUACCUCAAUAUGGGAGUCAGUGGGAAACCUUAUAGGAUUCAAGGACGUUCCUUGUUGAUUCUAUGACUGCUUGCCCACUGACAUAGUGCUGGCGGCAAACAGGCAUGUAGAGAUCAGAUCCUCCAAUCAAUUCUGUCUGGGUCUCUGCUGUCUUCCUCAAGGUAAAGAAGGCUCGCUUGCCACAAAGUUCACACCUUGCAGUCAGCUUUGUUACCGUAUCAGCAAGAGGUAUUACAUCAAGCACAGAUCCGAAGCUCCUCCUACCAAACAAAGGUAAUAUAAAUCAGAUGCCAAUUUACAAUGAAAGAGCUCCUAAAGUCGAACAGCAACAUUUGUCAAACCAAAUUAAAUUACUAAGAAAGACAUUGAGCAACACCUCAAAUAAUCCCCAUCAAGGCCAGCUACAAUUAUAGUUUUCCCAUCAUGAUCAGCAGCCUUGCAACAGAAUUCAUAAAGGUCUUCAAAAAAUUGAGCCUCAUCAAUGCCAAUCACGUCAAGCUGUCAAUAAACAUAGAUCAUGAGAAGUGGAGGAGAAGGAAAAUAUGAAUUGCAGUAAAAUCAUCAAACCAAUCACAACAUUUUCUUUUUAGCAAGCCUUCUUUCAAACUCGUAAAAAGAAAAGGAAAGGAAAGAAAAUCUUAUUUUCCUUUUCUCUCCGAAACCCAUUAAUCAGCGGCAGCAGCAGCAACAAUAAUAGACCCUGUUUAGAUCUGAUUGUGAAAUAAACGAUUCAAAACGCUAAAAAAGAAACCUUGUGAUAUUCAUCAUCUCCAAGCUUGUGAUGGAAAGAGGUGAGAUCUGGCAAAGACCAGCAAGGAAAUUUCAAGCCAUCAUGUGUGACCACCGAAUCGUUUGCAUAUCUUGUGUCCUUGCUUGAUUUUAUCAUUGCCACAUUUCUACAUUAAAAAUAAUAUUCAAGAUCAUUAUUUUCAAAAAUCAAAAUUAGAACUUUCCUUUCGCGUAUCUAAUACCAGAUCAUAACCCUCCCCAAAAAAAGAAGAAGAAGAACCUGCCACUGCUGCUCUCAGAUUCGAUACGACGGAGUAAAUCGGUGGUUUUGCCAGCAAACAUGGGGCCAAUGAUGACAUGUACUUCACCGGCCUCACAGCGGCCACCGUUAAUCGAAGUCAAAGCAGCCAUGGGAGAGUAAUAAGCUGGAAGUGGGGGGGAAGAAUUUGGGAAUUGGGAGGUGAGAAGAUGGGAAAUGGGGAGAGAUUGAUGUUCUGUUUGGAAAUAAAAAUAAAUAAAAGAAGGCUGGUUUUGAUUUUGAAUGGUUUUGGAGGGAAAAGAAUUGGAGGGAAGUUGAAAUAUGAAUUUCUUUUUCUUUUUCUUUUUCCUUUUUUAAAUUCAGCACUCGUGCAUGAGUCAUGUGACUCUGACUCUCUGAUGGCCGACCUGGUCGGUGCUGGCUGAGCUGUACGUAUCUUUCGUCGUGUAUUUGUUAGAUAUUUUAAAAUUUUGGUAUAGGAUUUUUUUUAAAAUUAGAAAUAUAUUAAAAUAAUAUUUUUUUAUUUUUUAAAAUAAUUUAAAAAUAUAUAAAAAAUAUUCAAAAAAAAUAAAUAAAUUCAAUUGUUUUCAAGACUAUUUUUACGCUGAUUUAUUUUACGUUUUAAAAGUGUUUUUAAAAAAUAUUAAAUUUUAUUUUUUAUUUUAAAUUAAUUUAUUUAUAUUUUUAUAUAAUUUUGAUAUAUUAAUAUUAAAAUAUAUUUUAAAAAAUAUAUUUUUAAGUCAAAUCAAAAAACAAACUACUAAAAUAUGCACCGAAGAAAUUUUGAUUAUGUGGGGUUAGGCUCAUUGGGCCCACUUUGAUUGUCCAAUUCAUUUGGGCCCACCAUUGUUUUUUUUUUUUUUUUGCCCUUUUUGUUUUCAGAAUGCAUUAGGCCAUCAGCCCAUCAGUGCCGUUUUUAGAAUUAACUAACCUGUAGAGGCACAUUCCACCGUGAACAGAAUUUUAAAUUAAAAAAUAUCAGUAUUAUGAUAUUUUUAACUAAGAAUGAAAAGACAAUGUAUAAAUUGAAAAAUAUAUAAACUAAUAAAUUAUAUAAAAAAAUUAUUAAUAUUAAUUAAAAACUAAAGCAGUAAGUUAAUUAUUUUUAUAAAAAAUAAAAAUAGAUGUACAUGGAAAUAAUUACCUCAAAUAUCCUUUUUAUUUAAUAAUUUUACUUUUAUAUUUAAAUUUAAUUUUGAUAACUACAUACUUAUUUUACCUGAACCAUCCUUUUCAUUUUAUAUGUUUUCUUUUAUUUAUUUUAAAGGUUAACUUUGAUCGCUUUAUACAUAUCAUUUUUGUUUUAAUAAAUUAUAAUAAUUUAUUCGAAGUAUUAUGAAAUUACAUAAAUAAUUCAAAAGAUUAAUUACUAUUAAAAAAAUAAAAUAAACAUUUUAGAAAAUGAUACAUGUUGUUGAUUAAAAAAUAAAUUGAAAAUUAAGAGAGAGACUGAUCAUUACUAAGCUUAACAGGUCAAAUCCAUACAUUUUGCUUUUAAUUUGUUUUUUUAAAAAAACAAAUAACAUGUUAUAUGAUGAUUUAUUUUUUAUUAUUGGAUCAGAGUUUGAGUUCUUAGACACUCAAAACUUAAUUUUUAAAUUGUUUAUAUUUAAAAAUACCUUAAAAAUCAUCACAUAAACAUCAAUAAAGACAUAUUUAACUCUAAAACACCCUCUAAUCAAUUUAAAAAUAAAAAAUAAAAUAAAAUAAAAUUUACGAGUCUCGAUCUACUUUUUAUAGCAUGAUUAAAAGACAAAACCAUCUCUUGUAAACUUUUAUCUUUAAGACGAAUUCAUUGACAUUAAAAUCGGUUUUUUUUAUGGCCGGCCAAAUAUUUUCUUUUAUUUUUCUUUCUUGAUGAGUUUUUAUCUCCUUAAGGAACUAAAAUGGAGUUUUGACCAAGUAAAAAUACUUAAACACAACAUGGAUCAAAUAUGCAUAAUUUAAGAUUUGAGAGACCUAGAAGUGUUCCAUGCCCUUUAAACAAUGAAACUAAAAAAAAAACUUUUUUAUAUUGAUUUUAGUCCUUUUAAUUUUUUUAAAAAACUAUAACCUAAAAUCUAUCUUUUAAUAUUAAUCUUUAAUCUAACAUUGAAAUUAUCG
rnacentral:lncRNA from 1 species